rnacentral:lncRNA from 1 species
UCGACACCUUCUUAUACAAUCAGUUGUACCUUUACAUAAUCACGAACAAAUCUAAAAAUCAUGCACGAUUAAAGAUAAAAAAAUUAUAAAAAUAUCCCUAAAUAUCAUAAGUUUAGAACCUCUUCAAGGAUCAAUCAAGAUCUAGAUUUGUCUAACUAUCUAGACCCUCUAUUGGUCCAUAAAAUUCUAGAGAGAAAAUCAUGAAGAGAGAGAAAAAAAUCUAGAUCCAGAAAAUUUUAGAAAGAGAGAUUAGAGAGAAAAAAUAGGGAGAGAAAUCGAUAGAGAGAGAAAAUAGAGGGAGAAUAGAGAGGAGAGAGAGAAGAGAGUAGUUUUUUUUUUUUUUUUGUCUUCUUUUUCUUUUUUGCUUUUUUUUUUUUUCUUUCCCUUUCCUGGUUUAUUUUUCUCUUCUUCUUCGUUGAAUCAAGGGAAGAGAGGGUCUCAAGCCGACCCACCUUCCAUGGACUUGGCUUUCUCCGGCAGCGCCUCGGGUGGCUACCGCAAGGAUGUUUCUGACCCUCGAUGACCGGAGCAAGGCCGUCUUCAGCAACGGCGGCCGAUCCUGUGGAAGGAAAAUCAAAAGAAAAACAAGGAAGGUUUGGUGUCCCACGAAAUCCGGUGGCCGGAGAUUAAAUCCGGUAGUCAAACUCCUAGUGGGGUUCGGGAAAGAGAGGAGGAAAGAAAAGAAAGGGUCCUUGCCUCGUCUCCGAUGAGAAAUCGGCAGCGAUUCUCUGAGGAACACACGGCGGAGAAUGGUAGAAAUCGCACAGCGUCGCCGACGAUUUCCCGCAGAUUUGGGGGUUUCAUUAAGGAGGAUGAGAGGGGAUUUAUAGGUGGGGAUCUAGGAUUUUCCCGGGAGUUCGAUUGGUCUUGGAAUCUCUCUCCCGAUCGAACUCGGAAGAGGAGAGAAGAAGGAAUCCAUCGGAACUCCUCUUCCGCUUUUUCUUUUCUUUUUUGGUUUCUUUUUCCUGCUUUGAGAGUCGUGAAAGGGAGUGUAGGCUUAGGUUUUUUUUUUUAAACAGGUUAUUACACCUUUUGUUUGCUACAUAUCAUAUCCAAAUAACACAGUUGCCGGCCCCAAAGUAUUUGGAUUCAUGCGCUAAUCUAACUUCAUAAUAAUCCAGGAAUGUCCUCUCACCUUUAUGAUCAAAUGAAAUGGUUAGAAGAGGAACAAGUUUUUCAUCUCAGCUCAUUUUAUUCCACAAAAAUGAACUAUUGACAUUUUUUCAUUCCCCCGUGAAAGGUUUUGGCUAGCUGGGAAUAAGGUUUAUUGCUGGUUGCAUCAAACAUCUAUCAUCAAACACAACGUUGUAAUAGCAAGGUUUAAAUAAUGGCACCCCAUCGUUGCAACACUUUCGCCAUCCUCCCAUAUAUAUAUAUAUAUAUAAUAGAGAAAAAAAUAAGAGCUAUUUUAACGCAUUAUAUGUUUUUAUUAACAGUUUGCUAUAAUAUAAACAAUGGCCCUUAUUUUCUCCUGUACGUAUUUCAAUAAAAUGUUCUCUUUUGAAACAUGCAAAUUGUUCAUCAAAUUUUUCCUCAGAGGUGAUUGCAGAAUCCAAAAUAUAUAUAUAUAUAUCCAUGAAAAGAUAAUUUCGUCCGUUGAAUUCCUGUUAUUGCCUGUUACUUUCCUUCAUUCAUUAUAACAAUGACUACGUCUAAUAUAACAAUUUAAAAUACUACUUUUGAGGCAAAUAGUAGUCAUUAUGGCCAUUAAUCGGUAGCAGUUCUGUUCGGUACUGGGAGAGAGAACUAUCUUGCCGUGCAGACCUCGUUGGUGGUUAACAAAAACCCUUCCAGUCCAUUUUGAAAACCAGAAAGCAUCGUGUGUGUGUGUGUGUAUAUAUAUAUAUAUAUAUAUCAAGCACAUAAAGCCAAGUCUCACGUUCAGGACAUGCAACGCUUGCACCCUGACGCCGUCACGUGCAAAGACCACGGCAAAGAGCUACAACCACUCCGAUGACUUGCACGUGAAGAUGCCCGAGGACUGGUGACACAACCCUGAUGCUUUGAUAGGCAUACCCUAAGAUCACGCGGUGCCAGAUGUCAGAAUAGUAGUACAUCAGACCAGAGAUUUUAUACGUGAUAGCUCGAGAUGGCACUGGUACUAACCAGCUGAUGCUUUAUGAUCUCAAUAGCGUCACCACAAGCCACCAACGACGUUUCAAAAACACGCAUCGUUAAACAUGCCAGCAAGCUGAUGCUUUGGUAAUGGUAAAGAGCAUCGCCCGAGUUUCCACAAGCAUGCUACUUUGAGAAAGCAAAUGGGCCAUGGAAUCCGCUACAACCAGGAACACCUGAACAAGGCAUGACCUCACAUAACUUCCACCCACCUUCCCAUUGGAUUCCACCUUCUACGAGCCUUUUAAUGUACGGCAUGAAAGAGGAGAAACUUUUGCUGCUGAAAUCCAAGCAGAUACAUCUUUUUUUCCAAAGUAAAUGAAGUAAGGUUCUUCCUCCCAAAAAUUAUUGAUUAAUAAGUCUCUAUUGCAGGCAGCACUCAGAAUCCCCACGCCAUUCUUCAAUCCAAUAACAGGAUUCAAGGCAGCUGGGAGAUACCAAACAUGAUAGCAGCAAAAGCACCAUGCAACCACUAGUUCGACAGUCAAAUCUGCGAGCUAUUCGCCUACUCAUGGACAGACAAGUGCUCUAAGCCAUUCAAACCAGACUUAAGCUUCCUUGCACUACCUGCUGAAAGUGAAAUAGUUAAUGAAUAAAAGUACAAACACCAAAUUCGUGAUGAAAAGAAAAAAGAAAUGGAGGGAAUGAUUUUUAAAAUUGUUAAAGUAAUUGAGGCCAUCCCUUCUCCUGGUCAAUAAUGUUUUGUGCUUGGUCCAAAAAUACCCACGACCUUUUAGCUCUUCCUUAUAGUUUGGAAAUAGCAAGAAUUAAAUCAUUUUCUCUAAUAAUUCAUGGAUGGGAAAAUUGAAGAUGCGACAUAGCCGUAAAUGUCAACAUUUGGUUCAAUCUUCACCUCCAUAAGAUCUGUGAAUAGCUUUGUUAUCAAAGGACGAAAAAUAAAACAUAACGGCACGGUGUAAACAAAAUUUUCUAUGAUAGGAAGUUUUCCCUAACGAUGAUUCUUGGUCGCUAGUCAGUGAGUGAUGUUUUAUACCCUACUUAAUUCCUGAGUGCAGAUAUGACCGGACUUGGAACACAUUCAUAUCCAAAAAGCUGGUAAAUUCAACCAAUAGUGAGUUAUAUGUGGCAUCAACAUUUGUUUAAAGGAAAAUCAUGGCAUACUUGUGCGGUCAAAAAUAUAUACGAGCAAAAAAUGUGGGACUCGAGGCUUCAGAACGUUUCGUCAUCUUCUCUUCCUUCUCUUACUGUGCCUUUCUUUGCUUUCAGAACUUGGUUCGGAAUCUGACUCUGAACCCGAUUCAGAGCCUGAGCCACUCGAACUCGACCCCUUGGAACUCUCAGAUGCUUCAUCUGAACCCAAAGCAGGUUUCUGCUGCUGCAUUAUGAGGCGAGGCAUAUUUUUCAAAUAUUCUCUCAAGUUCUCUGUGAUGCCACCCAGUCCAAUGGAUGUGAAAAAAUUGAUAACAAAUCUUAUGUUUUUUGGGUUAUCUUUGGGGAAAAUAGACUCAAAUGAAUCUUGCAUGGUGGGAUCAUUUAGACGUUCAUUUAGCAAACGAAUGCCGAGAUGGUCCGACAAUUCCUGCAUUACAAUUACACGUAACUUCAAAUUUAGAAGCAUCCAAAGAAAUGAAGAAAUGGAAUUCCAUAACCCUAGAUGCAUACCUGGAAGAGAAUUUUUAUGAAAAUUCGUGAAGAAGAUGUUGUAUCCUCCUCUGUCAAGCGUAUAUAGGCUAGAACAUGCCAGGGAAGUGCACUGGUUCCAAUUAAAUGAGCAAAUAACUUAGCCAAAUUUCGUAGUUUAUUUGUUUCAAGUCAAUGUAUCAUGGAAUACUGUUGCACCAAGCAUUUCUCAAAGUUUUCCUGGUAGACUUUAUUGAUCAUGCAAAACCUCUGUCCUAGAAGCCCAUAAUAGUGAAGAUAUGUUCUCUCUUGGCUGCAACACUCUAGCAGCAUCAUGCAUAAUUCCAUCUGUAGUGCCAACAAAAAGAAUAGCAGAUGAGUAAAGAAGGGGUGCAAGUUUGCUAAUUCAUUUUAUUGCUUAAAACAAGCAAAAUACUUGACGAAAAUAAGUGGAGACAAUUAAAAAGCAUGCAAAUGGCAAAGGGGCGAAUAUUUCUCUCAAAAAUCAAAGCAAAAAAAUGUAGACAUAAUUCAGAUCAGACUUGUAAUAAUAAUCAUUUAAUAUGAACCUUAACUUUUAUAGGUUUCUAUGAAUACGUCUUGUGAAUUGAAAAUCCAUAACACCAAUUGCUACAGGAAUACGAUUUAAUUGACCCAUGCUUGUUUGAACAGCUUCAGUUAACCCUGUUUUUUCUUUGAUAUUAACUGAUAUGAUAUCUACACAGUUUCCCCUCUGAAUAUAAUUUGCAGUUCAUGGAGACCACACCAUCAGCCAUAGGAUCACCAAGUGACCAGAUAAUAGAAAUUUAGAAAACUUUUACAGCAUUUCUUCCAAAUUCCUAUUGCCGAUAACUCCAUUAAUGUUGAUUUUUUUAAGAUUCUUUUUCACUACCCUGUCAGAUCACCUAGGUCCCUUACUCUUUCUGAACCUUCUGAGACCACACUUAUUGAUGCUCUGUCUAGUUACUGGACACAGCAUAUAAGCUUAAAGCUCGAGACUUCUUAUUUAUCCAUCGUAGCAUUGCCACACCAACAAUGCAAACAUUUCACGGGCAACAAACCCAAUGGUAUAAAAAGAAGACAAAAGAGAGAGAGGCAGUGUAACUAAGAGGAAGGAGAAUAUAGUUUGUGGAGUUUGCCACAAAAAUCAAGAUAAACUAGAGAAAUCCAUCUCAGUAUAAGAAUAAAUUUUUUUCUCAGUCAACAGAGAGUUUAGCACAACUUUGCCACCAGAGGUAUGCCUCCUAGAGAACAACAGACACCGUAAUAAUUCAUCAAUGCUUUAAAGCAUAAGGCGCAGUUACAUGCUUUAGAUCCAGCCCUUGAAUAAUCACACCCCAAUGUGCAUGUAUGCAAGCAAUUAGCCCUAGAAAUUUGUUGUUGUUACUACAUAUACUAAAAAAUGCAUGUGUAUAAGCAGACAAAUGGACAAGGCUUGCAAGUGAACUCCCUCGUAUAUAACAUGGUGCUUGUUGCUUGUUGCUUGAUUGCAUGCUCAAAGAUUUACUUGUCAAUCUACAUUAUACCAUGCCAUAUGACAUGUUGUGUGUCAGAAGGCUGCUAGCACAUUGAGUGGGGUGCAUACUUUGUACAAGCCACAUAUAGAUGGACAUUGGUUCAGACAAGAUUUGCUGUAUCGAUACCGGACGGCGUGCCGGUGCCAGACCGAUACGGUACCGUACCGAUACCGUACCGAUACACGGUACGUCCAAGCGUACCGGUCCGAUACCGAUACACAAUUUUUUUCGAUUUUCAAUUUUUUUUUUAAUUUUUAAAAUUAAUAAUUAAUAAAUACAACCUCAAUAUGGCAUUAUAUUGCAUAUUAUUGACAUAUUUGGAUUCAAUUUGGAGUUAAGUUGCGGUACAAAGACUCUUGAUCCAAAAUUUCAAACAUAUAUUUAUUUACAUUAUAUUUCAACUAUGUCAUCUUAAAACUAAAAAAAAUAUAUAUAAAAUACGUAUUAAAAUAUAUCUAAAUAUUUAAGUACAAAGCGCAAUAACUGAUAUACGAACCUUAAGAUGUACUCUGCAUUUAAUUUCUUGUCGAGUGUCUGUGACGCUCGUAGAUAUCUGGAUCAUAAACAUAGUCUGAAGGAACAUCAGUCCAACCCUCUAGCCAAGCUGCACCAUACUCUCGAAUAUUCAUCAUCCCAUAAGGCAUCCUCUCUGGAUUAUAAGACAUCUCAGACCUCUCGCUAAAAUUCUGACUCUGAGAAGUAUCCUCGAGAUGAUGGUACGGUUGUGGAGGAGCCCAUCCAAAUAUGCCAGUAGCAAAAUCUGAUCCGUAAGAUGCUCCAAACUGCAUAGGGUAAUAACCACUAGAAGAUGAUGCCUCGGAUGCACCAUAUGCAUAUGGAUCAUAAAGUGGCUGUGGAUAAUAGGAUCCAUAAUGUGAGGAUGAUCCAGAUACAUCCAUGGACCCUACUCCACGUGCAAGNNNNNNNNNNNNNNNNNNNNCUCAUAAACGAUGGUCUCCUGUCUCCAGUUCCUCCCUGAUCAUCAAAUCUAUGGCUACUACUACCAGUAUCAUCAUCACUCUCCCUGAUGUCCGUAUCUGAACCAGAUAGCUCCUGUACUCUCGAGAGUGGUGUACGUGCAACUGUUUUUUCCUUUCCUCCCCUUGUGCCCCUCUGUGACUGAGUUUCCUAUGAUUGGGAGGAUAGAUGCUUUCUUGCUGGCUGCCGGGAGGAACGUCUAUACAUCUCUCACUCGAAUCUCUGAAAAGAUGUAUCGGAUAGCGAGUCAUGUGAUGAAUGAGUCCCUUGUGUCCCCUCAGACUGUGGCUGAUCAGCUGGAACCCUAUGUGAAAUAUUUUUUUCUGCCCAUUAUCCUGGAUCCACCCUGAUCUCCCUUGCCACCACACUGGCUGGUCGUGGAGGGGAUCCUGGCUCAUCAAGCUCUAGCUCCUGCUGCUGACCUGCAAGCCAUCCGAUGAUCGGAUCGUCAUCCUCGUCGGCAUAAUCAUCCAGUGUCGGAUCAGUGUACUUCAACUGAACUUCCUCCUGAAUACAUUUUAGCCUCAACCUCAGAUUGUAGUGAACAUAUACAAGAUCGUCGAGGCAUUUUUGUGUCAGAUGAUUUCUCUGUUUGCUGUGGAUAAGGGCAAAAGUGGAUCAAUUACGCUCACAGCCACUAGCAGAGACCGUCUGAGAAAGAAUACGGACAGCCAUAUGUCUCAAAUUUUCUGCUGACGUUCCAAAAUGAAUCUACCAUUCAACUACAAAAGCAAAAUUACAUAUCAAAUUUGAUGAUAUUAUUAAGCAAAAUUACAUAUCAAUCUACAUUGCUCAUUAUUGAUAUGUAAUUUACCUAGAUUCAUCUGUUUUUUUGCUUACGACAGCUGAUGGGACUCCAAACUAUCUGAUCCCUCUCUAAAUUAUUUCGUCUGAAAUAAAAUAUAUUUAUUAUUUAUAAAUAUAUCAGAUCGAAUUUAGUUGAAUAAUUACAUCUGUUUUAAACUAGCAUACCUCUUGCAGACACAACGACUCGAUUUCUGGAUCGGGCACCAUCUUAUAUAUAUGACAUUGCGAAGAGCAGCAAGAAGCUCGCUAUCCAUAUCUAUCCCCGGAAUAGUAUACUGAAAUUUCAGAUUCAAAUAAUAAGCUACAGAUUAAUUUCAAGACUGAUUAAGCAUAAUUUUAUUUUCAUACUUCGAAAAAAUAUUUUAAAACAUUCUUGAAUCCAAACUUAUCAGCUAGAUGCAAAUCUCUGCCCAUCUGAUAGUCCCAACGGCGCCCAAUAAUGUUAAUAAAUUCUUGAGCAUGCUAGGGAUCAUUCUCACUGAUCUGUUUCUUUGCCCUCUCCAUCAUGUAAUAUAGGAAGCCCAUCUAGGGGUAUCUCUCGCUGUCCACGGCGCGAAACACCUCAUAUAAAGGCUUGAUAGCCUUCACUAUCUUCUCAGCCCGCUGCCAAAAUGACUGACUCAUCACCAAGUUCUCCACAUGACUUCCAUCAAUGCCGGCCCUCGCAUAUCUGCUCUCCUGUCACUUAGCACUAACAAACAUCUGACGUAGAGCUGUUUUCUUCUGAAGAAGACUAUCAAGUGCUAUGUAGUUGGUAGCAAACCGUGUGAUACCCAGUCGUAAGAUCUUCCCCCCCCAGUAUACGUCCGCAUCAAUGAAAGAACCCAUGUGUGGUUGUAAAUGAAUCUAGUCAUGGUCUGGGCAAUCUCCACUACCUGCUACACCCUGCAAAUCUUUCCGAUAUCCAUCAAUAUAAGAUCAAUGCAAUAUGCAGCACAUGGGAUCCAGUAUAUCUGCGGUCNNNNNNNNNNNNNNNNNNNNUGCACGACAUGCUGCUACCCACUGAAUCAAUCACCUUUCCAUCAGACCAAGGAUAUAUGUGGCAUCGUGCAUCUUAUCUGAAGCAUCGAUUGAUUUGUAAAAAAUAUUUUUCCAUCACAGGAUGUCAAAAAUUAAUGAUGCUCCGCCUAGUAGGACCUGUCCAACCAUCACACAUCACUGUCAGACCGUAUGUAGGCCAUUUAUUUUUGUAAGAAGCAAUCCAUCUCUGCAGAUCCUCCUUAUUGCUGUCAAGAAGCUGAUCAUAGAUGUCCUUAGGUCCUGAAAGAUCUACACCCUGCCAGCAGCCUCUAUGACUGAAAUAGCAUAUCGGUAGUAAGGAUUGGCUGCUGCAUUUGCUGGAAUAUAGCUGAAAUGAAACCAUGAUCCAAUAACUCGCCACAUAUCCUUCUUCUUAUCUUUUUUCAGCAUACUGUCAAUUCUCUGCUGCUUUGAAUCCUUGCUGGGCAAAGCAUGUGGAUCCAAAUCCUGAAUGCUGGCUCCUGCUGGAAUAUCUCUGGAGGACCUCCUCCUACUACCAAAAGCUCCCAACAAAGAAGACAUGCUGCAUCUGCUCCCUCUACCACCAGGCUCUCUGACUGAGGUAGUCCUCCUGAACUCGAAUUCUCCCCUACCAGUCGUUGAUCCAGAUCCUGAUUCGUAGCAUGAUGGUCCGAAUCGGUUUCUGUACCGGGCCAUCUCCUCCUGCUGGUACUGAUCCGCCAAGCUCGCAUGAAUGGCAACCUCAAUCUGUGCCUCCUCAUCAUCUGAAGCAGAAGCCUCCUCUGACUCUCUAGAGUGAUAAGAAGGUGGCUCUGCAGCUCGACGGUCUACUACGAUCUUUUUCUGCUUUGCCCUUUCCUUCACUGCUUUCGAAUCAGCAAAGUACUUUUUCAUCGAUUGUCGGACCUCUUGCGGACAUUUCUGACACAUGGACAUAUCAGGAUAACCACCAGCUAGANNNNNNNNNNNNNNNNNNNNNNNNNNNNNNNNNNNNNNNNNNNNNNNNNNNNNNNNNNNNNNNNNNNNNNNNNNNNNNNNNNNNNNNNNNNNNNNNNNNNNNNNNNNNNNNNNNNNNNNNNNNNNNNNNNNNNNNNNNNNNNNNNNNNNNNNNNNNNNNNNNNNNNNNNNNNNNNNNNNNNNNNNNNNNNNNNNNNNNNNNNNNNNNNNNNNNNNNNNNNNNNNNNNNNNNNNNNNNNNNNNNNNNNNNNNNNNNNNNNNNNNNNNNNNNNNNNNNNNNNNNNNNNNNNNNNNNNNNNNNNNNNNNNNNNNNNNNNNNNNNNNNNNNNNNNNNNNNNNNNNNNNNNNNNNNNNNNNNNNNNNNNNNNNNNNNNNNNNNNNNNNNNNNNNNNNNNNNNNNNNNNNNNNNNNNNNNNNNNNNNNNNNNNNNNNNNNNNNNNNNNNNNNNNNNNNNNNNNNNNNNNNNNNNNNNNNNNNNNNNNNNNNNNNNNNNNNNNNNNNNNNNNNNNNNNNNNNNNNNNNNNNNNNNNNNNNNNNNNNNNNNNNNNNNNNNNNNNNNNNNNNNNNNNNNNNNNNNNNNNNNNNNNNNNNNNNNNNNNNNNNNNNNNNNNNNNNNNNNNNNNNNNNNGGAGAUCUCAACGGUUUCGUUGAGACCUUCGCAACUUUCGGACCCUCGGGAGUUCUCUGAGACAUCUCAGAGAACUCCAAACAUGCUCCCUUUAUGCAUGUGGUCUCCGACCCCACCCCCCUCUCCUCCUCACUUUAUUCACAUGGGACGGUCAGUACGGUUCGGUUCAUGCCGAACCGAACCGAAACGAACCAUACCGUUCGGUUUUGGAUGGUAUGGAAACGAAUCGGACCGAACCGCUCGGUUCAGUGCGGUUCGGGGUGUUUCUCGAAAAAAAUAUCCGAACCGGACCGUUAAAGCACCAGUCCGGCUCGGUACGGGCCGGAACGUCCCGUACCGGCCGGUUCGGGCCGGUACGGCAAACCUUGGGUUCAGAUCUACGUGUGUCAUAGGGAAUCACAGCAACAUACUGUAAUAAUUAUUACAGCACAAAACAGUCUAUCAAACAAAAUUUACUGUUACGGAAUGUUUUGACAUCCGAUAAUUAUGUUUUAGUUUCAUGUAUAACGUUAACUAUUAAGCAUGGCUUUAAAUAAUGGUGUUAUAACCAUUAUAUAACGGCCAUUAUAGAGGGUUUGGGGCACCCCCAUAUUCCAUUAUUGAGAUAAAUAACAUGGCAACAUAUAAAGGCUCCUAUUUUCUGUUAUUUUCCAUUAUUUCCCAUAAAAAUGAACCAUUCUAACAUAUUUAACAGCCCUUUUUGAGAUUGUACGGUCAAAAAUAUUAUUUUUAUCUAAUGACAAGUGAAGGGAAAGAUAAUGCCCUUUUUUUUGUUAUUUCCCAUUACAAUACCAUUAUAGAAACCUCUACUUCAGUGAUUAUUUCAAAUUUCAAUAUUAAAAAUUAGAAAAGUUGCUCUUCUAAUUAUAAUGGUCAAUAAUGUUUAGGUGGUGGUCUGUUAUAAUGGGACAGUGCAUCGUUUAAAACCUAGAUAUUUAAUUUUUGUUUACAGAAAUUAGUUCUAAUAGUCAAAAUUAAUAAGUUUUCACAAUGAAAUUCCGUCUCUGUUUUAGUCUCUCAGAUUAUUAUAACCUAUAUUACAUUAGUUCCAGCAUUUAUUUCCUUGCAUAUUGUGAUAUACAGGUUCAUGAUUUGUUCAUCAGGGGGAAAAAACAUGUUUCACAUUUCAUUUGACUUUAAAACAUGUUUCACUUGACUUAAAACACUACAUGGAAGAGUCCAAGUUCUAGUCUGAGUAUCCAAAAUAUUUAUUUUUACUGUAAGGAAAAAAAUUAGUAGCACAAGGGGCAGAAAUAAAAAAGUAAUUGAAUAUUUAAAAGCUCUAUGCAUAUCUUUACAUGAAGCAACAACCAGAGCAAUGAAAUAGCCAAACAAGCUUCCACCACCACUCUAUAUCUUUUACCAAUAUCUAUACAACUUUAAAGCAUAUCUUUUUCUUGGCCUAUGAAGCAGUUACUGCUGUCUGACUUCGCAGGUGGCAGGCUGAGUAAAUCUUCCAUUUAUAAUCUCGGACAUACUUAAACAAAAUUGUUGUCUCUUAUAUUUGUAUCUAUACUACUAUAUGGUGGCAGAAGCCCUGCCACGCUGUCUGCCCCACUUGGAUGCACUGUACUUCCUAUCAGACUCUGUUAGAAUGUUCAAAAGGGAAAAGACAAAAACAACUGUUAGAAGCCACUUCUGCUCGGUUAGCACCACUUGGACAUCAUAUGUUUGUUAUGCUUAUCCAUAUUUUGUUCUAGAACAAUCCAAUGAGAAAAGACAAGCAAUCCUGGCAGUCAAGGCUGUUUCUAAAAUUUUUCUUCCAGUGACAAGAAAAAGGUGGUGAGCAUGUCCUUCGGAGAAGAAUGCUUUUUUUCCCAUGUGUUACUUAAAAGAGCCCAGCAGAGAAUGAAAAACAAAGAAAAGAUCCCAAUAAGAUUAUGGUGGUACAUUUCAUUACAUGGAAUCAUAUCUCUCGUUUGUUGGUUGGGUCAAAGAAGGUAAGUUUUCUUGAGGUAGUCUAGUAAAUUAAAGAAAACUUGGUGGUACUGAUUUUUUCGAUAUCAUAUUCAAGAAUUAUGUUUCAUAGGGUGGAAUCAAUAUCUGCAAUAGCAUUCCCUUAGCUAGCUUCUUCACCUAGCUUGGCAAACAAGAAGCAAUAUCAAAAUCUUUUUCCCCAUCUUAAAGUAAGUUUUUUAUGUUAUGAUUGUAGCUAUAUUAUAUAUUAUACUUGAUCAUCUAAACAAUUAUGUUAAUAAAUUUCAGUUAUGAAAAAAGGAAUACAAUAAAACUCGUGGUGCUUUCUAACUUCUGAUCGGAACUAUCUUUAUUAUAUCAAAAACAACAUUUUGCAAGAUCUUAAUGAUCCAGAUAUAGGUAAGGAGGUUCAUGUUAGACUAACAUUUUGACCAAAUUUCAGCUUAAUCAAAAUUUCGAUUAAGCGGUAACUCAAACUGAACCUUGAUCUACUUCUAUUUGGGUUGGAACCAACAGAGAUGUCUUGGGAUAUGCCUUAUGCCUGCCAAACACUUCUAGAAAACAGGAGCACAGAAUGGUUAUUCCAACUAAAGGCUAGAAUAAUUUAUUCAUCAGAUAAAGCCCUCAUUUAUUAUUGUCUCUGUUUUUAUAGAUAAUAGGAUUAAGGCAAAAGUACAUGUAGUGCCAUGUGGCCCAUAUCAAGUAGUGCUAAACAAUUUUGGCAAGAUAAGACCAUAUAUCUGAGUAUUAUGUCAAGAUAAUUUUUCCUUAAUUGUAACUAGUUAUAGUGCACAUGCUUAUGCAUGUGUAUUGAAAGAAAAAUAAUUAAAUUGACAAAAGAAAAAUUCCAAUAGCAUAGUCGAAAAGACCUGGGAAAACACCUGAUGUUUGAAUAUGGAGCCACCUCUGAAUAAAAGAGAGAUGCAUCCAUUGGGUAACAGCUUAAAAAUUCUUGCAUAAUACUCAAAUGAUUUAAAAUUACAAUAUCUUCAUCCUUCUAAUCUACAUUUUCACCUACAAUUUUUAACCUGUUCUAUUAAAUGACAUGUAAACAUGUUGUAAAAGAAGCUGCUUAGACUGCUGUAGACAAGUUAAGGUGCAAUAGGUUAAGUAUGCCUAAAUCCAGUAAUGAAGUAAUUCCAUCUCUUAUCGAUUUAUUAGAAAAUCAAUCGUGAACCAAAUUGUAAAUCUAAUUCAUGAAUUAAAUAUUGAUCUUGGAAUGAGAGAAUAUUUCUUCAAUCAUAUUUGAUAUGGAAGUAGAUAAUAGCAAGCCACUUUAUAGGUUCUGUUAACUUGAUCAUUGACCAAGGUUAUUAUUUCAAACUCUACUUAGUUAUGAAAAUUAGCUUUUACAUUAGCCAGAGAGGAUUUAUUUUGGAUGGGGUUAGUAUGAAGCUAGAUAUGAUUUAAACUCCAUGAAUUUAUGAAUGUUAUAACGAGUGGCAAAUUGCUAUUUGUGAUUAUAAACACUAGAAUAUUGCAGGAGCCAUUAUGUAAACCUGGUAUAACAUCUUAAGCAAUGUUUCCACAGUGACGAUUUGGCCUAACAACACUCACCCCAAAACCAUUCCAUGUAUUCAUGACUAUUACAAAAUUUGUUAAGUUGUUAUUUUGAUACCUUCUUUUCCUUUAAGAACACAGAUGAUCUAAAUUUGAGAAAUUCAUUGGGUCAAAUUAAAAUUUUUGAUUAUGAAAACUCGAGUAUUACAGGUGAUGUUAGAUAACACCUGACACAACAGCUUAGGCAAGACGCUAACAAAUAUUAUACACCCCAAUAAUGGUCCAUUCCAAAAGGAUUUUUCUCCUUAGAAUAGACAUAAUAGUCGUUCUUUGUUCAUUUGAUGCCUUAGACUGGAAUUUUUUUGGCAAUAAAAAAUUCUUAUAUCAACUGCAAUUUUUUAUAUAAAGAAAUAAUAUAUCAUGAUGAUACAAUAACAUGAACUUUUAAUCAUGUAUUAUUCACAGAAUAAAUGUAUAAAAUUGGCAUAAGAUUUAUAUUUUAAAAGUAUUAUUCUAAGUAUAUGAACUUGAUAAUAAAAAUGUUAUGAACAGGUAACCUCAAUGACAUGGAAGGUCUUGAUAUAUUAUCAUAGCAAUUCAUUUAAACAUCAUCCAGAUAUAGCUCAAUAAGCAAUUACUUAAAAAUCUUUUUUUCUUUCCUUCUAAACUUUAAUAAAUUGUCUGACAUAGCUAUAGGUAAGUUAUAUGUUAGGUCCUGACAUCAUAGAAGCAUAUAUAUGUCAUAAAUGAUAUUAUUAUUAUUAUUAUUAUUAUUAUUAUUAUUAUUAUUAUUAUUAUUAUUAUUAUUAUUAUUAUUAUUAUUAUUAUUAUUAUUAUUAUUAUUAUUAUUAUUAUUAUUAUUAUUAUUAUUAUUAUUAUUAUUAUUAUUAUUAUUAUUAUUAUUAUUAUUAUUAUUAUUAUUAUUAUUAUUAUUAUUAUUAUUAUUAUUAUUAUUANNNNNNNNNNNNNNNNNNNNNNNNNNNNNNNNNNNNNNNNNNNNNNNNNNNNNNNNNNNNNNNNNNNNNNNNNNNNNNNNNNNNNNNNNNNNNNNNNNNNNNNNNNNNNNNNNNNNNNNNNNNNNNNNNNNNNNNNNNNNNNNNNNNNNNNNNNNNNNNNNNNNNNNNNNNNNNNNNNNNNNNNNNNNNNNNNNNNNNNNNNNNNNNNNNNNNNNNNNNNNNNNNNNNNNNNNNNNNNNNNNNNNNNNNNNNNNNNNNNNNNNNNNNNNNNNNNNNNNNNNNNNNNNNNNNNNNNNNNNNNNNNNNNNNNNNNNNNNNNNNNNNNNNNNNNNNNNNNNNNNNNNNNNNNNNNNNNNNNNNNNNNNNNNNNNNNNNNNNNNNNNNNNNNNNNNNNNNNNNNNNNNNNNNNNNNNNNNNNNNNNNNNNNNNNNNNNNNNNNNNNNNNNNNNNNNNNNNNNNNNNNNNNNNNNNNNNNNNNNNNNNNNNNNNNNNNNNNNNNNNNNNNNNNNNNNNNNNNNNNNNNNNNNNNNNNNNNNNNNNNNNNNNNNNNNNNNNNNNNNNNNNNNNNNNNNNNNNNNNNNNNNNNNNNNNNNNNNNNNNNNNNNNNNNNNNNNNNNNNNNNNNNNNNNNNNNNNNNNNNNNNNNNNNNNNNNNNNNNNNNNNNNNNNNNNNNNNNNNNNNNNNNNNNNNNNNNNNNNNNNNNNNNNNNNNNNNNNNNNNNNNNNNNNNNNNNNNNNNNNNAUGGUGAGUUUUAAAUUGAAUUUUUUUUCCAUGAGAAUCAAUUCUUUGGUGAGAAUUUGAAUUGAGUUCGACCUUCUAAAGUCCAGAGUCCCUAGUCCUUAUGGUAUUUUGAAAGUCAGUAAAUGUACUUGUAGGGGUACUUGAUUCAAGUGGAGACAUUUUUAAAGUUGCCAAGCUAUUUAGGUUUUGUUAGGUGUCCAAUGCAUGCAUGUUCUUGUUUGGUUGGGGGGAAGGUGGGGGGGAGGAGUAAAAUAAUUGAUAGGGGUAUUCGGAGAGAAAAGACACCUGAGAGUUUUAAGUUAAUUAAUCCAUGAAAAAGUCCAAGACAAUGAAGGUAUUCUGGGAUAGGGUAUUUUAAGAUGGGAUGUUGACACACCUAUAUAGUUAUUAGAUAUUCUGAUAUCAAGUAUGAAGUUCUAAAUACAUUAAACUCUCUGGUGGGCUUCAUCAAGUACUAUAAUUCAUUUCAACGAGAAUCUAUAAUCUAUGAUGUAUUUGUCUGAAUUAAAAAAUGGUUUGAAAGUAUAAAACAUGCUUAUUCAUCUUCAUACAUUUAUCCAAUAUCAUCCAAGAUACAGGGGGAAGGCAUCCUGAUCAUAUAUUUAUUGAAACAGCUCGGUUUGGAAAAUCAGCAUAAUAACAUGAUCAAAUAAUAUCACAAUAUGUUACUUUAAAGGAGGUUUAACAUGUUCUAUUUUGCUUCAAAUGGCAGAAGUCCAUAAAUCAUUCCUUCCUCCAACAAGGUUUUUUUGCUUUUGCAAAAUCCUUUUUCUCUCCAUCAGCUGUUAAAAAAAAUAAAUUGUCUCAUAUACCCCCUCAUAAAGGAUUAUAUUGUUCAUAUCAUGUUCAAACUGUUUUUAACAAUUAUGAGUCGACAAUUCAAACUUCAUUAUCAACAACGAGGCAAGCAAGAACAUUCUCCAAAAUGGUGAUGUAUAGUAUAUUGCCAAUCCAAAUUCAAACAUAAGUGUAAAGGGUACAAGAUGAAAUUAUCAGAAAUCAGACAUCAUUAGAAACCUUCAGCCACACAAUACUAUAAAAAGCAAGGUUCCCGAAACCGAAACCAGGACCCGUGCCGGCCGGCCGGCCGGCGGUUCCUAGAGGAGAAAAAGAGAGAAAGAGAGAGAGAAAGGGGGGUGGAGAAAGAAAAGGAGGAAGGAGAAGCCCUCGGAGAGGCUGCCGGACGGCCUCCGUGAUCGCCGUGGCCGCCAGACAGCGCACUCCACGUGUACGGUGCCGUGGGCAUGAAACAGGAACGAUGCCCCUGUUUCACUGUCUUUUUUAAAAAAAAGUCGAAAAACCAUGAAACCAAUUGCCGGCUUCACUGUUUCUGAUUUUUUUAUAAAAAAAUUCAAAAAGUGAAGCCGACAAUGGAUUUGCCGACUUCACUAUUCAUCAUCGUUUUUAAAAAAUGGAAUGAAGGAAUAGGGUCACCCCUGUUCCGUAGCUGCGGCUCUGCCCAUGCGGUUUUCACUAUCCGAUAGCUACGGCAGCCAUCACGCAAAGUCCGACAACCCCUCCGCGAGCUCUGCCUCCCUCCGGUACAUCCCUCUCUCUCUUUCUCACUCAUUUCAAAAUCCUUUCAGGCGACGGUCGAGCCGCAAAGGCUUCCGCAGCCCUUCGACAGCCGCAAUGGGCCACCGCAAGCCUCCGGAGGCGUCUCUUCUCUCUCCCUCUCCUCUUCUCUCUCCCUCUUCCUCUCUUUCCCUCUCCCUCCUCCAGUAUACCAUCUUCGCCAGCCGAACCAUGCCAGUUCCCCAUCGAUCCAGCUCGGGAUGGGGUGUACCGGCCGGUUCGAUCCAGUACAAAAAACCUUGAUAAAAAGUAAAAACAGCUAUUGUUUUAAUAGUCAAUAAAAAUAAGAUAUGCUAUGAACCAAUGACAGCACGGUAUCAAAUUCAAAAAAAUGCAUCUACACAGCCUACAAAUAUUAAAUUACUCAUUCUGUGCUCAGAAGUCAUACAAUGAAGUCACAUAAUGUAGCCAAUGAAAGCAUGAUCACUUUUGACAAGCUUAGAAGUUCCAAAAUUUAGCAAAUCUACUUGUAGUCCUUAACAAAAACUACUGCAAAUGAAUAGUGAAAAUUUUAUUGCUUACCUCUUGACCAGGCUCAAGUUUGUUUUUUAACAACUUAUGACCAGCCUCCUCAAAAUCAACACUUGACAUGAUUGUGAGAUAAAUAGUUCUCCGCAAAUUAACAAGAUUUGUCUCAGUCUCAUCUUUUGUUUUCAUUUUCUUUUCUUCCUCCUUUUCAGAUUCUUCUUUGUCUUCAUCAUCUAAGGCUGCAUCAGACCCUUCUUCAUCUCCAGAAGACUCUGUCCCAAGGAUACUUUUCUUAAUGUUUUCAUAUGCCUUCUCAUCAUCAAGAAAUUGUGGAUUUGGCUUAAAAACAUCUGCCAAUUAAACAAGAUAUAGUCAAAAACUUGCAAUAUAUUAAGUGAUGCUGCAAAUGACCAAAACGCAUGGGAAAACUUAAAACCAAUACACACCAAGAUUUGCCUUUGGAUCUAUCUCAUCUUCCAGGGAUAUCUCAUGGGUAAAUUGAUCUUCUUGCUCCACAAGGUCCAAUUCUGGGUGGAUAGCAGGAAAUCCCUGUAUAUUGAUGUGAAACCAUAUAAAAUGAUUGAUUUAAUUAUAUACUUUGACUCAAACUAUAUAGAGACAUGCAUGAUUCAGGCGAACUCGUAUAGAAAGUUCAACCAUACCUGGAAUUUGGCUCUCCUUAUUGCAAAAAGGCCUUCAAUCAAGAAUUGAACUCGUUUUAUCUCCCCUUCACGAAGUAUUCCCCGAAAAUGUUCAAAAAUACCUGCAAAGAUCAAGAAGUAUGAAAGUUACCAUGAGAAAUGUAGAUGUAUUGCUUGCAGUACUUGUUCUAUCCAAUACAAUCAAAGAAUGCUCAAUCAAAUCAUAAUAUGAACUUUUCUACAGUACAGCUAAAUGCAAUCGGAUGUUUCAGAUGGUAAUAAUUAGGGAUAGAUACCUCAGAUACAGAUGAUUACAAAACUAAAUAUCAGUAGCAUCAAGGUCCAUAAUCUCAAUAUUGGGGCCAAAUCAGUUAGGUACUAGUAUGAUACAGUGCCAAGCUGAACAAUACCGACUCUUAAUACAUGGUUAUGUACUGGCUCAAGGUACCAAUUCACUAUCUCUUGCCCUUUUUAUUUAUUUCAAUUUUUUGAUUUUUAAGAUCAUGAAUCUUAAAUUGUGAUUUUAAGAGUACUUUAAUAUUAUUUUAUUUCAUAUUGGUUGGGAGAGACUGUAUGAUUGCUAAAUAGAUGCAGUUGUAAUAACUAAACAUAGAUUUGUAACUUGGAAUGCAGAUGUAUAUCAUUGUAUGCUCUAGUUUUCAUCAUCCACAAGACCUCAUCUUUCUUUCAACAGUCACCUUCUUGAACUCAUACUUUUCAAUUUUGUCAUCCUCUAUUUACUUCUAACUCUAUUGUUUUUGUGUUCAUCUCAUAAAUUUAAAAGGAAUACAUUAUCCUAAUAUAUUGAUAACUAUGACACCCAAGGUCUAGUUCUUAUCUUACUCUCAGGCUUAUGGUUGCACCUUUCUGCAUCCCUCUCUAAGCCUGUGUUUAGUUAGGGUCAUGAGAGGGUGGAUGGAUGAGAUUGGAAGGAUGGAUGGCUUCCGUCCAUUAUUUAAUUCAAAAAGUUACAAGAAGGAUGGAUGAAAAAGGAAGAAUUGCCCAUCCAUCUUGGCCCACCAAUUUGCAUCGUCCCAAAUUGGGAUAAAAGAAGGAUGGAUGGAGAAUUGAAUGAUAGACUUUUGCAUUGACAAAAUUAUCCCUCAUUAAUUGUUUUGAUAAAACUAUAAUAUUUCUUCACCUUUUCAUUCAUAUUAUUUAUAUAUUUUUUAUAUAUACUAUUAAUCAUAUGCUAUUAAAUUUUAUUAGUCAUUAUUUUAAUUUUAGUAUAUAAUUUUCAUAAUUGUAAUUAAAUAAUUAGAUUAUCUUCUAUUUCUCUAUUUAUAUUUACUAUUUUUUAAUUAAUUAUUUGUAUAAUAUGAAUUAACUAUUUAAACUAAAUUAUAAACUAAUUAGUUACUUAUAUAAUUAAUUUAUUAAUAAUUAAUUUAUAAAAUCAUGUAUUAAAUUAAAUAUUUAUAUAAUUUUUUAUAUAAUUAUAGAUUAUAAAGAUUAUAAGUUUAUACAUUGUUUAUUUCUUUAGUAUAAAUAAGUAUUAUAAAUUGAUAAUAAUAAUAUUUUUAUCAAAAGAUAGUUUAGUAAAAAUAUUAUACAAAUAUCAUUCAUCCUUUCUCUCAUUCCUCCUAUACCAAACAAACAAAGAAUUCAAUUCCACCCAUCCUUCCAUGUUUCACCAAAUAUAUGAAAGGAUGGAUAGAUUUGUUUCACCAAACAUAGAAAGGAUUUUUCAUCCAUCCUUUCCUCCAUCCAUCCGUCCUCCUCCAUCCAUUCUUCCUUUAAUCCAUCCUUCAUAGCAAAUAGAGGGUAAUUGUUGCUGCCCAAUUUGCAAUCGACAUCUAUAAGAGCGGCAUUGGUCUAACAAAACAGUCUUAGGAUUUUCUUAAGCUUUCAUUUUGUUCAUGCAACCACUGUUCCUAUCCAGAUUUAAAACAUUAUUGGAGGAUUCUAAGGUUCCUAGAUGACAAAAGGCUAUGGUUAAGGAGCAUUUUGUUCUUCAACGAACUAAUGAAUGCAAGUUUGCCUUCUCCAAUCACUAUUCAUAAAAAGUGUCUUUAUUUGUUGAUCAAUUAAGCAACACAAAGCUUAGAUGGUGGCGAACUAUUUAUUGAAGGGCAUGGCAUAGGUUAUGAAAAAGGUUAUUAGAAGUGAGCAAGAUUUUUAUUCAAAUAUUAAAUGUGGUAGUGAGUAUUCAACAGUCCCUCUUCUAAGCAAACUAGAAACAGCCUCUAUCAUGGAGAUCUAUGAGAUCUACAUAUCCUAACCUUCGACAUUCUCUACGAAUUUGGAAAUUGAACAUGAUCCCUUUCAAUGCCUUUUAAUAGGACAAGGAUUAUAAACUUUUAUUACGAACCUAAUCCUGUAGUAGAAUAUACUAGUUGUUUCUCACAAAAUCCAACCAUCUCUUCACAAUUUUUGAAGAAAAGAAAGAAGAAUGACAUCACAUGGCUCUCUCUUUCUGGUUGUGGGAAGGGCCAAACCAACCCAAACCACUCCAAAGCAGGCAGAACUGAGUAGAUCCACUUGGUUUGGAGCAAUUCGGGCCGAUUUGCACACAUUCCUGAGCUGAGGCCAAACCAACCUAGUUCUACAUCGGUUCACAUCAGCACACUCUAAGCCGAGCAGUUUGAGUCAGUUUGGCAGACCAUGAGUAACAUUGUACAAUCCAAGGACUUUACUGCAAAGUGAAUCCCUUGGCAAAUUACAUAUCAACCUAGGUGUGCCCCACAACUCUGUACUUAUUUAGAAAGGUCAGUAAGAAUAUGAGGCAAGAAAAUGAUUACAUCAGACAAUUCAUAUUUAAGGACAAACAACAAUGAUAACUUCCACAAUAUGACACACUUAUCAGCACCAUUCCAAUAUAAAACACUGGAUAAAAAAGGAAAAUUGCUAAUGAUGAGUUAAGAUUCUGGAUGGAAGGACAAAGACACCUAUAUAAGUUGACUAGUUGCGCAUGGCAGAUAAACCAUGUAUAAAAAAGUUAAUUAAGCUCUAAUUCUAUGCUGAUGACAAAUUUCAGCAAUUAAUAUACACGUCUGGACGCCUUGUUAUGAAUAUCAGACAAGCAUAUGACGUGGCAGCAAUUUUUCCCCAUAUUGUGUUGCACAAGACUUCCCAAGAGAAGUGGUUUAGCAGGUCUUCCUCGAAAUAAGAAUUAGGUGCAUAUGGAUUAAGAUGGGUUAGGCUGCAUUAAAAGAAAUAAUUUAUAAAAAAAAAACUAGAACUUCAAGAAAAAUUAGGUGCAUAGAAGUCGGAUUAGGCUGCAGUAACAAAAAACUUGAGCUAUAGACCCACUAAGCCACCUUAUAUCAGUAAAAACCAGAUAAUAGAACUAACAGCUGAUUUUAUAUUUGAAUUAGGUAUCUAGCAGCUGAAAAGUAUACAUGAUUGCAUCUAAACCUGAGUAUGUGGAGCUAAAGUAUCUAGUAAAUAGGACAAUAUUCUAACCUUCAGAUAAGAACUUAUAGACAUGAAGUAAUGAAACAUACUGCAUUUAUGGGAACAGACCAAGAUGCCAUUAAGCAUAAUAUAAAGAGGGUUGAAAUCAACCUAAGAAAAAAUUUUAACUAAUAUAUUUUUUUAAUAUUGUACAAAGAAAAUACUUAGAAAACAUAUAUUAAGGUUUGUAAUGCACGUUUCUCAUCCAAACUUCCAGAUUAGCUUCUGAACUUUAGAAUAUGAUACUUUACAAAGAUACUCUAAUAUGUAGAUUCUAUUGCAUGGCGUGCUUUUGAUUAACUGCUGACUACCUAUAGUCUGAUUUCACUCAAAAACGACUACUUAUAGUCAGAUCACUGGAGCACACUACUUACCCAUCAGGGUCAAUCUACAACAUUCCUAUAGCUACUUGCAUCCCCAAGUUUCUUCAAGGUUAUCUUUGAGAAAUCCAUGAAGGGGUUUCUGACAUUGCUGGAGAGGGUUUCAUCAUUUGAAGUGACAAAGGGUAAAUGGUUGCAGUGGGAUCCCAACACCUUCAUAGUACAUUUGUUCCCUUUGUAGAACUAGCAGCAGCAUGGAUUGACUUCAUUAUGCAGUAAAGGAGCUUAAUGCUACCCAUAUAUGAUUACAGGGUGACCCCGCUGCUGCUAUUUCUUGGAUCCUUUGAGGUCAAGCUACAUACAAACAACAUCUACCUUUCAGAACAAUACUUUUCAUCUCACCCCAACAUCCAUAUUCCUUCAAGUUAUCAUAUAAUUUCGAGGCAAACUAAGCAGCAAACUGGCUUCCAAAUGCAGGAUCAAAUAGAGAUUAAUCAAGGCAUUCAGAUUUGGAUUUCAGUCCACUGGCUCCAGCCUAGCAUCUUAACAGGCAAAUGCACUUGGUAGUAUUUAUGAGGGAAAGUUAGAGGUGCUUCAACCUCCUUUUAAAUAUUAUGGAAAGGAAAAAAAGAAAAAAAAUUAUUUUGGACACUACUAUAGUGGGUUGAACUCAUUGUUAGAAGAGUCCAAUUCCCUGCCAAUUUCUAAAAGCUACAGUUAAAGAAAAUUAAUAAAUAUCCAUGUCUGACGCAUAGACCAUUCAACUAUGCAUGCAACACAUAGGAGAGUUUCCAAGUAAAACAGCUGAAACUUGAAAAGAGGAUUGUCACCUCCAUUUGAGGAGACAUGAAAAUAACUUAAGUCGAUGCAGCAUAAUCAUUUUACACUGCUUUGGGCCACUUCUUAAUAGAGCACAUGUACUAUGUACUUUUUCCCUCAAUUAGUAACAUGUUUCAGAUCCCAGAGUUAUGGCAUUGCAAGCCAUAAACAGAUUCUCGUGAUAUCAAAUGUCAAGAAAAACUUAUUCAAGCAAUAGUCCAACAAUGGAGAUCAAAUGCUUAAGUUAAAAACUUUAACCAUGAUUGCUUAUGGUUAUGAAAUUGAAGAUCAAAUACCACAACCAUAACCAUUGAACCUUGUCCCAACUAUUUGGGGUUAAUCUUAUGAAUCCUCAUUUGCCUAAGUAUUGCUAUUUAGGGCCAUCCACGAUAUUACACACAACUUAUCCAUAUCCUUCCUCACAACCUCCAUCAAUAUUACCAUAGAUUUCUAUCUUUUUCUUAUUAUCCUCCACUUCCACACAAAAUAAAGUACCUCUUCUUACGGGAGCCUCUUCAGAUCUUCAUUGUACAUGUCUAAAGCAUCUCACUUAACUUUCGAUCACUUUAUCCUCAAUUUGUGCAACUCCUACACCUUCUCUAAGCUAUUCAUUCUUAAUCUAUCCUCUAUAGUUUUAUAACACAUCUAUCUUAAGAUUCUUAACAUUCUCAUCUCCAUCAUAUUUUGAACUCUCUUUAUUGCCUAGCACUUCGAUCCAUAUAACAUUCCCUUUAAUCUCCAAGAUAUGCAUCAAUCACAUAAUACUCCAAAUGCGCCUCACCACCUCAUCCAACUAGCUCUAAUUCUAUUACCUAUACCUUCAUCUAACUCCCUAUUAUUUUGUGUAAUAGAUGCUAAAUAAUAGAACCAAUCACGCUGCUCUUGCCCCUCAAUCUUAAUCAAAAUCUCUUCUUCAUUUCCAUUCUACCAAAUUUACACUCCAUGUAUAUGGUUUUCAUCAAUGACAUUAUAUUGUCUACUGAUAAGAUAUGCAUGGUACAUCUUAUUGUUUACCAGCAGUAAUUUCAUCAUAUUGUAAUUGGAAAUAUACAUAUUGUACUACAACAACUUCUAUAGUUGAUAAUUCACCACCAUAUAUAUCCUCAAUCAUUUCAAUAUAUUAUUUAUGUACACACUUCUUAAAGCCCAUCAAAUUACUUUUCGUGUUACCUUAUCAUAAGUUUUCUCUGCAUUACUAAAGACCAUAGGUAAACUUUUUCCCUUUUCUCUAUAUUUUUCUAUCAACUACCUAAGUACGAAAAGCCUCUCUUCUUAACCUUUCAGGCAUAAAUCCAUUGUUUGUCUGAAACUGUUGCUAUUGUUUUAAUCCUUUUCAACUAUCCUUUCCCACAAUUUUAUAAAUCACCUAUAAUAUCAAAAGUGGCUCUAAACAGGAUUUCUUAGCAAAUAAGGAUCCAUAAAACAAAUCCAAAAUGGUUGAGAAAAGGCUAGACUCUCAUGGUUAUAGUUAUGGUACUCAUAAAUUUAAUUCCCUGAUUCUAAGAACAACUUUGUAUUGAUUCUUAGAACAACUUUGUACAUCACCUUUACUGUUAUAGAUAAAUUUCUCCUCCAAUAAUCUGAAGUUUUUUUGGUUUUUAAAAUCUCAUUAAAUAAGUUAGCAAGCCAGGUUAGCCAAUAUCUCCCAUGAUUUUAGCAACCUCAAUAAGUACCAUAAAUUUAAUUCCCUGAUUUUUAGGACAACCUUGUACAUCACCUUUACUCUUAUAGAUGGACUUCUCCUCCACAUCUUGAGUUUCCUUGGUUUUUAAAAUCUCAUUAAAUAAGUUAGCAAAGCCAAACUAGCCCAAUAUCUCCCAUGAUUUUCCCAAAAUAAGUAUUUCAUCUAAUCUUAAUUCCAUACCAUUUUGCAUUCUUUUUAAAGCUAUCUACAAAUUCACUCCCAUAGAAUGUUUGUACGGAACCUCAACUCCUCCCUAACUGUACUUCCUCAACAAAGAUUUCUUUAGAAGAAUCCUCAUUUAACAACUUUUCAAAACACAUCUCCAUCUUUCUUUAGUUUCCUCAUCUUUCACUAAUAUCAUAUCAUCACCACUCUUAAUGCAUCUAACUUGAUCAAUAUCUUUGGAUUCCCUUCUUUGACUCUAGGUAUUUUAUAAAUUUCAUCCUCAUCUUCCUUUGAACUAAGCCUAUCAGAUAGAUUACCAUUUGCUACAUGCUUAGCUUUAUUUACAAGUCAUUUCACACCCUUGUAAUAAAUUUCACUCCUAAAAAGAUUUUAACAAUGCUAUGAGUCUUCCCUCAAAGAGUAUUGUAUUGGUGGGCAUUAUUUGGAAAAUUUCUAAAGUCUAUUUUAAGAUUCCUGAUUUGAAAAUCAAAAGAAAAAAGACAUGUUAAAAAGUUGGAAAUCCAAAAUUCCCAAUAUACUAAGGAUUAUUUAGGUGCCCUCAAACUUCACUCUCUAAGUAACUGUUUAACAAAUCAGAAUUUACUGUUUUGCAGCAAUAGAAGAAGUAUCUCUAGACUUUAGAUCAAGCUUUAGGAAGCUAGAAAUAGGAGCAAGACCAUAUAAAUGAUUCAUCUAAUUUUUAUUAGUAAAAUUGGCUUUUCUCCACAUAUCUUUCAAACUUAGAUCACUUUCACAAUGGUAUAUACUUACUUCUAGAUGAUACCUCUCUACAUUCUCCCCACAUAACAACAACAAGUAUAUAAUCAUUUAUUUGUAUGUGAUGAACAACAGCUAAAUUAUCAAUUCCCACCAAUGAAACAAACAAAAAAGCAUAACCAAAUUAUCAAGCUAAAAUGCGUCAAGCAAGGUUUUAAAUCCCAUGGGACAAAAGUGUCCCAAUCUCUCAAGGAAACAGAAUGCCCCACUAUCCCAUCCCAUCCCGACAGCAAUUUUGGUCGUGCACCUCAGUGGAUAUCCUGCAUCUUUCUCUCAUUUUUCUUUCAUUUCUUUCUUUCAUUUUUUUUCUUUCGUCCUUCUUUUCUUUCUUUUCCUUUAUCUUCCUUUCUUUCCUUUCUUUUUUCUUUCUUUUUCUUCUCCCAUCCUUUCUUUUUUCAUUUUUCUUCUUCUUUCCUUUCAUUCAUUUUCUCUAUCUUUUCUUUCCUUCUUUUUUUUCUAUUUCUUCUUCUCCCAAUCCCGUCCCAGUCCCAUUUUCUCACAAGAACAUGAUAGGAUGACCGGAACACCCUCCAUCCCAUCGGAACAUAAAACCUUGGCGUCAAGCAUGCAUCAGCUAAAUAAAAUUCCAAUCUAUACUAAAAAUUAAAUCCCACUCACCAUGGAGACCUUGAGGGGAGAAGUCCUGAAGUAGUGCUCCACAUUCUUUAACAAAACCUACAGCUACCUGCACAAGAAUGGAAGAUGUAGACAUAAGGACAGUUCAAUCAAACUUAGUAUGAUGAAAACACUUUUAAAAGAAAAAAUUACCUCCACACUAUCAUCAGUAGGGUUUUCCAACAGCACCGUUUGAAGUUCUAAUGCAAUAACGUCAUGUGCUAGUUGUUGAUUCACAAGAUGAGCUUUAAAUGUUGUUGCAGCAAGUAGUUGAGGCUGACAUCAAAAAUUUUUAUCGCAUAUAUCAGAACAUCAUCCUUUCCCAAUCAAAUGACAACAGAAUUGAAAGGUUAGAAACAUAAAUGCAGACCUUGUCGUUCCGUUUAUAAGCUCUUUUGAGCAGUAAGACAAUCCUUUUCAAUAGAAGUCAACCCACUUCUGGGAACUUGGUAUUCACAACGGCAACUAAUGCAGCAAAAACAUCUGUGAAUCCCGCCGACCUCAUCUGUGAUUUCAUACAUGACCUGCAGAACAGACCCCGCCCACGAAUUAGGUUUUCCGAGAAGAGCUCGGGGAUUAUAUUCUUAAUGUUGGUAGCGUUGACUUUGUUCACCAGCCCAUUAAUGCUCUUCCGAAGAGCAUCCCAGCUGAGCCUCUGUAGGCCUCGCUGCUCGUCCUGCACCUCACGCAUCAUCUGUGCCAUCCGGAACGGUGGGAUGUAUAUGCCACCAGUCCUUCCCGCAAUGGAAUCAGGCAUCGGAGGUGGCGGCGGCAGCUCGUUUCCAACUUUCUUGGUCUCCUCGUCUCUUGGAUGGCCUUCUUCAACAUCUCUAUCUCUAUGUCUUCGACGCCGUGCUUGACGGUCAUCAUCGUCAUCGCCAUCACCAUCACCAUGCCAAUUGUCAGUGAUCCUCUCGCGCCUUCGAGGGCUUCUAUCCUCAUCCGAAUGGUGCUUCCUACGAUACCGGUCUCUAUCUCUGUUCUUGUCUCGCCGGCAAGCGCUAUCAUGGUCACGAUACCUGCGGCGCCCUUUAUCCCUUAUCCUCUCUCGCCUCCGAGGGCCUUCGUCCUCGUCGGACCUUCGCUUCCUGUCCCUCUUCCUACCACUAUCGUCGCUACCAUCGUCGUCGUCUUCUUCUCUACCGCGCCCCCUCCCGCCCGACCGGUGAUUCCUCUCCUUCUGUCCCUCGUCGGCGUGCCCGCGGUGCCGGCGAUCGUCCAUCGACCUCCGUCCCUUCCCUCGGCCGUCCGAAUCCGAACCCUCGUCGCCGGAGCUGCUGCGACGGUCAUCUCGCUGCGUCCCUCCGUCCCUUGCAGGAAGCCUAGAUUCAGUGCCGCCAGAUCUUGGCCUGUCUCGGCUUCCCGGUGUCGGGACGGCGGCGCCGCCGUCCCGACGGCUUCUUCUGUGAUCUUCGGGUUCGGAGGAUGACGCGUAGGUCUCGGAGGCGGCCAUUUACUUGCUUUGGGCCCUGGAUCUCGCCAAUCCCUCGCGCUCUCUCUCUCGAUAUAUCAUGGGGUAGAGCUGGUAAGGCGAACGGGGCAAGGCACAUCAACGAAACGUCUGAAAUAGGUUCAGAAAUCGUUAUACGGGCCCGGUUCAGUGGACCAUUCCUGAUCCGGGGCACGUGUACGUCCCUUAUUUCAUCUUGGAAGGGGUAAUAUGGCGAGUAAGUAUUGGCCUUCGCCCACUGAACCUGGUCCAUCAGGUAACGUGGCGAGCGACUUUUAGACUGGCGGAAAAAAGUUCACCAACAACUAAGCCGGCCUUUUAGACCACCCGACCCCUGUACUGUGCUGAAAUUUCGCGUCUCUCUUCUUCAUGUCUCUCUUCUCAAUUUUUUUAUGAUUCUUUAUCCCUUCCAAUCGUGGUAUAAAAAAAUACACAUCGUUAGUCCUAUACUAAUUAGGAUCAAAAAAAACUCUAACGGAGGUCAUUCUUCUCACAUAAAAUAUUUUUUAAAAAAUAAAAUCAUAAAAUUUUAAAUGAUCAAAAUCUACUAAAAUAUAAAGAUAGUCGUAAAUCAAAGCAGAUAAUAUCUCACAUAUCGAGUCCAACAUCGUCACUUAUUCUCCCUCCACACAAAGUUGAUAAAGAGAAAUGACGAUUUUCAAACAUACUUUCAACUGAAAUAUGAUACAAUGAGCUCCGGCUCAAGACAAUAUGAACUCCAGCUCAAAGAUGAUUCGAUGAUAAAUACAAGCUCCAACUCAAACCCCAAAAGGCCAAAGUAGAAAAAUACCGAUCUUCGGAUCGAAAUGAGUCUCAAAAGGACCAACAUGUUGAUCGACUCUGAUCGGACGGAACAACAUGCCGACUCGACUCCGAUUGGAUAGAACAAUAUGCCAACUCGACUACGGUCGGAUGGAAUAAUAUGCCGAUUUGACUUUCGUCGGCAAAAGAUCGACUUUGAUCGGCAUAUUACCGACUCCGAUCGGCAAAACACCGACUUCGAUCGGCAUAUUACCGACUCCGAUCGGCUAAUAUCGACUCCAGUCGGUAAAUUUCGACUCCGAUCAGAUAACACUGACUGAUAACAUCGAUUCCGGUCGGUUGGGCACUGACUCCAAUCAGUCAAAGUUGAUCAGCCAAUCAAUUAUUCGAGCAAAGAAAGAAAAGGUAAGUACUCAAUACAUGGAAAAUUUUACUUUUAUUGCUGUAAAAAAUCAAAGAAAUUACAAAAAAUGGACUAAGAUCCGAAUACAAAAAUAGAGAAAAAGCUACACCGACUCCCUUCCAUCGACUCCAUCGGCUGUCUCUCCAGUCGCUGCCACUACAUCGGUCUCUUGGAUCCUAACAACCAGCUCUUCCUCAGCAAAUGCCGGAACUACCUCGGCAGUAGGCACUGUUUCUUCUUCAGCAGUCGAGACAGUGUUUUCCAGAGCCUCAACUUGAAUGCUGCUUAGAUCGAGAUUCCGAUAAAGUGCAAUGAGCAGCCUUCGCUAACUCCUUCACGACAGCCGACUCCGCAUCAGUCAGUAACAACUACUCUUCGGUGGCCCGAUGCAGCUUCUAUAGCUUCCCCAACUUCUGGAGACCAUCAUCGCGCUCCUUCCUAACUCAUUUGAUAGUCUCUUUCUUCUGCUGAAUCUGGGCCUCAUGAAAUUUGGCAGACUUUUGAGCCACCUCCGACUCAGCUCUUGCGGAUUCCAGUUCAGCUUUCACCGACCCCAACUAUGCCUUCAAUUUGGAGGUCUCUUCUUGAUGCUUUUCCUCCAGUUGAGCCAUCACCCGUAUGGUGGCAUCCCUUUUGACAUUUGAGGCCAUCACUUUAUCAGACUACGUCCGACGAAGAUUCGCAAACUUUCGAUACCCUCGCUCCAGUGAUGACAUGUCGUGCGCCAACUGAAAAGAAAGGGAAAAGUCAGAAUCACAAAUAUUAGUGAACAAAAAAUGGAUGGAUAAGAGAAUAUCGACUUACAGUGAGGAGAACAGGAUAAAUGAAAAAAAAUAUCUCGGACACAAUCCAAUUUUUUUUAUUCUCUCUGUCCGUCAGAAGAAGUGCAGCCUCUACGAGCUUCCUGGCCAGUCUUAGGUUGCUCAAGGACAACUAGCCUUCGGACACCCGAAUAUUGAAAUAUUUUGUGAAGCCCUCAGGAACAUCUUCGCCAAUUGCACCAUCGAAAAGUUGUGGCACCUUUCCGCGAUCUUGAGCUGAUGGCUGAUCGAUCAGAGCCGACAACCAGUCGGGAGUGGAAGAUCGAUACAAUGUGGAAGGCGCUCAAGAUGUCAUCGGCAUCGGUGGCGGUUCAACGACCGUGACAUCACCACCGCGAACACCCGUUGAAGUCUUGGCCAUUGCUGGAAUUGCCGGAGGAACGUUGGCAACUGAUGGGACUUCAAGAACUGACAAGGCAAUGACAAGAUCCGCUCGCAUCUCAAAAGGGCCGACUAUCGAGGAUGUGUCGGGCUGGGCCUUCUUCGGUUCCCAAGAUGGACCCGCACCAUCGGGCCUCUUCCCUACGGUAACCCGUUGUCGAAUUCUUUCCGCUGAUGGUAGUCUCAUGCCUGCAAAGAAAAGUGAUGACUCAGCGACAGUUUGAAAUUAAAUCGACAAAUGAAAAGCAACAAAAGUUACUAAGUCAUACCUACGAAGGGAAUCGGACCAAGUCCGACAUCGUACAAGUGCUGCUCUGUCAACAGCUCCUGUUGUUCAAGGACCUCCAUGUCCUUCAAUCGGAUUAAGUCUUCUCAAUCCCCAACAUCUAUCUGAUCAUUGUCAUUCGGGCCAAACCUGGGAUAUUCUUAUGAAAAGAAAAAACCCCAAGCCGACGGAAAAGAAGUGAAAAAAAAAUUCAUUCUUCCAUUCGUGGAUGAAAGAAGGAGGUCGAAGAUAAAUCGAAGAUCCUGUCUCAGAACAAAAAACCACCAACCCCUGGUCUUAAGGUGGGAUCGGAGAACAAAAAAUGCCCGAAACAAUAACGGGUGGGGGUUAGUCAGGAUAAGAUGGCAGAACAAAGCAAAGGAGAUGAUAAGCCAAAUACCAUUUGGCGCCAACUGAGCCGGAUAAAUCCCCAUAAUAAUCGAACAGAUUCCAGAUGAACUCCAAAAUCGGAAAGUGAAGACCUACUCUGAGGUCCUCCAUAUAAAUCGAUACUUGGUCGAGAAGAGGGGAAUUCACCCAACCACUUAGACCAAGUGCUAAAAGUCGAACUACUCUGGGAUGCGGUAUUGCCCCUGAGCCGAACGACAUCGAAUUCGGACAAGGAAGAAACUUCCACUUCUGAAUCCGAAAGGAAAUUGUCAACCAAAUCACCCAGUCGACUACCCCAAGAAGGUUCUGUAGGACCAUCUACCGAUUUCUUAUCCUUCCCACCCUUACCGGAAGCGAUUAUCAAGAGACGAAGAACAAAUAAAGAAAUAAUGAAAGGAAAGGAAGGUGAAGGAACAUGAAAGCAUUACUGAACUUCAGAAAUGUGAAGAAGAAAGAAAAAAAUAGCUCCCUACACCCACAGCACUCAGCUCUCUGUUGCAGCAGAAGGAUGCUUCUUAGUUACAGCAGAAGAUUCAAAUGAAAGGGACGGCAAAUCUUAUAUAGACCCCUCAACGGCUAAGAUGAUUCCGCCUAACUCAAGACAUUCACGGAUUCUGACAUGUGGCUGCAUCCGAACCCUUCGAUGUUCAGACCCUUUGAUGCACCUACCACCAGAUCUUGACAUGAGAGUACAAUCUGUGUGAAUCGUCAGGAGCCAACAACUGUCGGAUACAUGGCAGUUAUUAACAGAUCAAAAUCAAAUCAAAUUAAAUCAUUCCACCAUCUGGUCGCCUACAACAUUAAAUAACUGUCUUCUUGAGGUGAUGCUCCAAUAAUGAUUGCACGACCUCCGAAAUAAAGAUCAAUGAAAUGACAAAGUGGAUGACGAUUCAAUUUUCAAAAAAAUCAUGAAUACCAGCAACUAAAGCAACCGUAGAAUCCGAUGUCAAAUCAUAACAAAAAAUACUCUCAUCGUCCAACAUGUCAGGUCAUUUUGAACUUGAGAGUGGGAGGCAACUGUUGAGAUAACCGAUUCUGCUACCCCGAUUUACACUCGACGCAUAAUAUCUCCAACUCGACAACGGCAUCCGACUAUGUGUCAUCGACUGAUGUCUAGCCGAUUAGUCUAAUCGAUCAAAGAAGUUGACAAUUUGCCAUACCGACUACCUUUUCAGCAUUCGACACCGACAACCUAUCGCCGAUCGUCUACUCAAGCCGUGAUCGACUAAGACAACCCGACAUCCAAUCGCUAGCGGCACCUUAUCGGCAUCCAAUCGAUAGCGGCAUCCUGUCAGUAUGCCAUCGACGACUCCGACAUAAUAUUGGGAUCACUGACUUCCAGUCGGUAUCACUGACCCCCAUCGGCUUAUCAGAAACCAUCAGUGCAAUAAGCGCGUAACGGUUACUUCCAUGAUCAAACCAUCAGCUGCUCACUAAGUAGGCAUUAAUUGUCCAUUCCAUGAUCGUAUAGUGCCGAAAUAAGCGGGACUCACGUGCCUAAUCGUUACAAACGAUUACCAAUGACUCAUCUAUAAAAGGGAAAUAAAUGAACAGUAUUGCUAAAACACUUUUGGACUGAUAUUUUGUCAAUUUUGAUAUUCUAUGUCCUAUUCGAUUACUCCCCACUGAUUUAAAUAUCGGAGGGUCUCUGCUGAAUGCAAUUUCGAUUAUAGAAUUUUUUUGCAAAUCCUUUUCACCAACAUCAAGCGUAACAGGAGAUUGGCCACAAUACUUUCUACUUAGUUUUUGAUGGAUUUGAAUAGCUAGUGCCAGUGCCAUCGUCUCUCAGUCCCUUGGGUAGUUUUAAUUUUUUGGACCCGUAACCGUGGGGGUGGGCUGCUCUGUUUUGGCCGUAACUCCAUUUACUAUUGCAUAGCCUUGAUGAAAUAGAAGUGGUAUUUUGUCUCCACUUCUGAGGGGGGACAAAAAUUCAGGAUUGGUACUAAGAUGAAAAAGUAGAAGAUGAUGGGAUUUAUGUGAGGCCAAGAAGAGGGAAUUUAUGAUUGGGCAGCAAAUAGAUCAAAAGAAAUUAUAGUGAAGAAAAUGAUAAUUCUAAUAAAGCAGGGGGGAGGGGAUAUGAAUCCUCGACAAAUUCUUGCAGUAUCUUUCCUUUUUUUUUUUUUUGUCCUUUUUCUUAACUAUUUGUUAUGGUCUUUUUAAUUACUCUAACUGUAACCGUUUAUAUUUCUUUUUUGGCAUCUUUUGUUCCUUUCCUUAACCAUCUAUCACACACUCUUCCCAUUUACUCCAACUACACUAAUUCACGGCUUUUGCAAUGUUCCAACAAUUCUGGAGGCCUGCAAUGAGCAAGUUUGUCCAACUUAUGGUAAGUUGCGAAGCUCAGGAAUCAAACCAAUACUUUCAUUUUAUAAUUGGGUUGAUUCUUAAUCACCCCUAACUUAGACAAAAUUACAAAAAACAAAUCAUCAAAAUUUCUUAAUUCGAAGGGUCUAUAAAGGAUGGUAGAUCCUAGUACCCACUAGAUUGCUGCCCAAGUAAAUAUUCAACAAUCUAAAUGUUGUAGGGUUUUCCUAGAAAUAUGCACCGUGGUGCACCCACAUAGGAAUAACUGCUGCAAGAAAGUUAAAAAAAUGACUGUGACUCGGAUGAGGCUUGGCUUGUUAAACGACACAGGUAUUUGAGCUCGAGCCAUUCCAAACUUAAAAUCAAAAUAUUCAAACUUGGUUUAUUUCCUAAUAAAUGGCUUGACAAGCUAACUAUCAAUCCAAGACUGAGGGAAUGGGAGGGAGAGCAGCUCCAAUAUUUUGCUAAUCUUUUUUCAAAUGCUGUUUUUGUGGCUUGCAUUUAAAAAAAAAAAAAUUAUGUGUACCAGCGGGUGUUUGGUUAUGGAGCAGAUAAAGUCUAGCAUACUGCUUCGUCCAUUUUAUAGGAGCAGAAAAGGAUUAAUACCUUAGGUUGCAUUUGGUAGUUGGCAAUCUAAAACAAUUUAAAGUGAGUCCAUCAAAUUGUUAUAUUUAGUAUAUUUUUUGAGUGGCAAUCUACGUUAUCUCCCAUGAAGUAAGGUAGACAAACUCGGAGAGGAGUAGCUAUCAGAUUACCACUUCUUCCGCAAUAUUAUAAUAAAAAAAAUUAGAUAAAAUUAUCCUUCAAAAAAAUUGCACAAAAUCUAUAAUAUGUAUUUUUUUCGUGCCCUACACCCCUCCAUCUGUCCGCAGCUCCUCUGCCCUCUUCAUCCUCCUUAAUGAUGGCCGGCAUUUUCCUAGGAGAAGGGGCAAUGUCGUAGAGGAUGGGGCAAGGGGUGGCGGCGGGGGCCAUCGGAUGGGGGGCAGGAGCAUGGGUGAGAAGAAAGUCGUCCUCAUCGUGGGAGGAGACGAUGGACUGGAUGAAGGUGAUACCAAAGAAGGAGAUGAGGUAGCUGAGGGAGGUGACGAGGCCAAUAAUGAUGAGGAGCUCAGAAAGAUCGAUGACAUGGAGAGAAUCUUUUCACACCACCACCGCAUCAGAAAGACGAGAGAGACGGCAAAGAGGAGGAGAUUCAUGUGUCAAAUAGGGAGCAGGAGGGCGUUUGAUGUCUAGACCCAGGUGGCGUCAUCGACAAAGGCAGCCUCCGAUGGGCUAGUGAUGGUAGCGGCAGCAGCAUUCUUAAGGAACCCCCGACAGAUGCCCAUUGGGGAGAUGAAGAGGAGAGCGAGAGAGAUGCAGCAUGGCAUCGUGUUGGGUCCUUGGAACGUAGAUAGCCAAGGGACCACCCCCCCCUUCGAUGCUUAUAGUUCUCCACAUCCCGCAGCCUGCCACUUCUCCAUGCUACCACUACAUCCACAACACUCCCGCUGCUUCUUAUUAGGAAGAAAGAAGAGCACCAGAAUAAAAUUAUUAAAGAUAUUUUGAAAAUUUGAUUUUGCAUUACUAAUAAUCUGAUUGUCAUAUCAAACAUGUCAAUCAAGAUUUUCAAAAAUUUUACUGCAUCAUUAUCUAUAUGUAUUAAAUACAAUAAUCAAUAUUACUGAUAAUUUAAUUGAUGGUGUUGGACAAUUCAACCGAUCUCUGAUUUUGACUCUAAAUCGGCUUUAUGGACACAAAAUGCCGACUAACAAUCAGUUGACCGACCUACAGUCGGCUAUCCCCGGCCAUCAACAGAUUUAGCCACGACAACUCGACUAAUCUUAGAUUGAUGAUCAUUGGUAUAUCAAAGUUACCGAUUGAUGCUCAUUCGGAUCUUCUCGACUACUGACAUACGAUCGACAUACUAUUGUUACCGACAUAUAGUCGACUUACUUAAAACUGCUAGCACAGAAAGCGCAUGAUGGCCAAAACAUGAUCAAUAACGGAUAUAACCAUCCAUCCCAUGAUCACAUAAUAUCGGAACGUGCGAGACCCUUGUGUCUAACCAUUACAAAUGGUUACCAACUAUUCAUCUAUAAAAGGAGGUAAAUGAACAGCACUUGAUAAGAUAAUUCUGGGUUGAUACUCUGUCACUUGAAAUUUUUUAUCUGCUGUUCACCAUUUUUCACUGACUUAAGCAUUGGAAGAUCCCCACCGAAUAUAAUUUCGAUCAGCACGGACUUUUUUUGCAGGUGCUCUUCUCCGACGAUGGGUGCAACAGAAGAUUGACUGCAACAGAUUGAUGCGUCGGGUAGGAAAAGAUACAAGCAACCAUGACUAAGACCAGAGCUCAGCAUUCCUCCAUUGGCAGAGUCCAGUUCUUCGCAUCCUGUAGUUACUAUGGAUGCACAAAUUGCUGCUCUGAUGCAGCAAAUGAAGGUGUUAACGGAGGCAGUUCACAAUCUCCAACAGCAACAAAUACAACAGCAGCAGCAACCGUCGGUGGAGUCGAUGGCUCAUUCAGUGCCGUCUAGGCAUAGCCGCCAUCCUCCAUGGUGUUCACCCUCCUCAUCUCCAGAAUGACGAUCGUCUCGGCACUCUCACCAAGUCGAGCAAUCAUAUUUUCAACAUUCCCAUCACAUUGCUCACCCUUUACGGUGAUCUCCUUCUCCUUCUUAUGUAUAUGGUAUCAAGAAGGAGAAAAGGCCGUGUGAACCUUCUUCAUCUCCAUCCUCAAAUUUUUUGUGGGACUCUAUCUCUGGAUUAUCUUAGCAAUGAUGGCUUGAUGACUAUGAGUGUAAUUCAAAGAGAUCGACUGCCAACUUGUCUGACUUCAAGUGGAAGGUCAAAAAUCUUCCAAUGACUAUAACUUCCACACUGCCCAACCUCUCUCUCAGCAUAUCUUAGAUGAACCGAUUCUGUCUCAAUUCAAGAUGCCGUAGAUGGAGCCAUACGAUGGCUCCAUCGAUCCAAUCAACCAUUUAGAGAGCUAUAAGGCUCUCAUGAUGAUCCAGAGGACAACUGAUACUUUUUUAUACAUCGGCUUUCCGAUGACUAUUCGAAAAGUUGUUCGAGCUUGAUAUUCUGGGCUACAGUCAGGGGCAUAAACUUCUUCAAACAGCUCGAAUAUUCUUUCGUAGCCCAUUUUAGUACUAGUUGAAAAGUAUUACAGAUAUCAGACAGUUUUUUCUCCAUCAAGCAAGGCGAGACAGAGAUAUUGAGAGAUUUUGUGGCUCGUUUCAACGUAGCCACACUUGAGGUCAGAGAUCUCAAUGAAGAUAUGACCAUAUCAACCAUGAAGAGGGAUCUGAGGAGAUCCAGAUUCACUUAUUCUCUUGAUAAGACUCUCCUCCGAACCUAUGCUAAACUUUUAGAGCACGCAUACAAGUAUAUUCACGCGGAUGAGGGUGCUUCUGACCAGUGCCAGACAGAAGAAAAAGGUCAGAAAAAGAGGCAAAAAAAAAGUGAAGCUCCAAUCGAGUCAAGUCAGUCAAUCACCAAUAAGCGAGCUUCACCUCAAUGAUGGAGUCCAAAGCCGAACAGCUAUGGCAGGUAUGACUCCUAUACUCUUUUUUCUGCUCUUCGUACAUAGAUUUUGAUGGAGAUCGAAGGAGAGAAGUAUCUUUAACAUCUCGUGCCAAUGAAAGUGCCAUUGAGGAGCUGUGACAGAAAAAAAUACUGUCAGUUUCAUCAUGAUCAUGAACAUGAUAUCGAAUAAUACAUCCAACUCAGAGACGAAAUAGAGAUCCUGAUUCGAUGAGGCUACCUCAAAAAAUUUUGACGAGAUCGCCCGACUCAACCUCCCACCAACUAAUAGCCUCAGCCACAAGCUAAGAAAAUAAUCAGCAAUCGACCAAUGACGGAAGUAAUUAAUAUAAUCUCCGAGUGAUCGAAGGACUGGGGUGCAACUUUCAAAGAAGAGUCGGCGAAGAAACGAUGACUUGAUAAUGUAAUUUUUUUUUGAAAGAUGAUGUCCAGAGAAUACAAACUCUCCAUAAUGAUGUUGUCGUUGUCUCGAUGAUGAUAGCAAAUUAUGAUGUAAAAAAAAUUUUAGUUGAUAAUGGAAGCUCAACUGAUGUUCUUUUUUACUCGAUUUUCUCUCGAAUGUGACUAUCGACUGAUCGACUCAGAAGAGUCUCAACGUCAUUAGUCAGUUUUACUGGAGAUAUAGUUACUGUAGAAGAAAAAAUUACUCUCCCACUAACCGUAAAAAUAGAUCCAUAAUAAAGCACUGUUCUCCUGACAUUCACUGUCAUUCGAGUUCCAUCGGCUUACAAUGCCAUACUUGGACGAUCUGGACUUAAUGUCCUGAGAGCAAUAGUCUCAACAUAUCACUUACUGAUCUGAUUUUUAACUAAAAAUAGAGUUGGAGAAAUGCAUGGAGAUCAAUAGCUUGCUCAACGUUGCUUUCUGGUCUCCACACAAAAUAAUCAAUUUAAAAACUCUUUAUCCAUCGAUAAGUUGGAUCAAAGAGAAAAUAAAGAAAGGGAUGAAUCUGUCGAGCAACUGAUUUUCAUCCUGCUGAAAGAAAAAGAUUCUGAGAAGACAGUCUGAAUUGGAUCGUAGUUAUCUAAUUUGGAAUGGUGACAAAUGAUGAAUCUACUAAAAGCAAACAUCGAUAUUUUUUCUUGAUCAGCAAUGGAUAUGCCAGGAAUUUUUUUUAAAGUAAUAACCCAUCGGCUAAAUAUUGAUUCUAAAGUUAGGCCGCUAAGACAAAAAAAAAGAUCUUUUACUUCUGAAAGGCAGAAGGUCAUCAACGAAGAAGUCAACAAGCUCCUCAUGACUGGCUUAAUUAGAGAAGCUAAUUAUCUCGAUUGGCUCAUAAAUGUAGUGAUGGUGAGAAAAAUCAAUAAAAAAUAAAAAAUCUACAUCGACUAUACAAAUCUAAAUAAAACUUAUCCAAAAGAUAGUUUUUCUUUAUCGAAGAUCGACCAACUAGUUGAUGUAACUUCAGGACACCAACUUUUAAACUUCAUGGAUAUCUUUACAGGAUAUAAUCAGAUUCGGAUGACGUCUGAAGACAAGGAGCACAUAGCCUUUAUAACCGAUAAAGACAUCUACUGUUAUAAAGUAAUACCGUUGGGUUUAAAGAAUAUCGGAGCUACUUAUCAACGGCUAGUCAAUAAAAUAUUUAAAAUACAAAUCAGACGAAAUAUGAAAGUCUACGUUGAUGAUAUGCUGGUGAAAAGUCUCCAAACUUCUGAUCAUGUUCGGGAUUUGGAAGAAGCCUUCAACACACUUCAAUGAUAUCAAAUGAAAUUGAAUCCAACUAAGUGUGCAUUUGGAGUAACUUCUAAAAAUUUUUUUAGAUUUCUUAUGUCACAAUGAGAAAUUGAAAUCAAUCUCAAAAAAAUAAAAGCUAUCAUCAAUAUGAAGCACCCAAGCUCCAAAAAAGAGAUACAAUAACUUAAUAAAAGGAUCGCCGCAUUCAGCCAAUUUAUCUCAAGGUCAGUAGAAAAAUGCUUGCCCUUCUUCAAGAUCUUGAGACAAGCAAAAGACUUCUCAUAGUCAGACGAGUGCCGACAAUCUUUUGAAGAUCUAAAAUGAUAUCUGACAUUUCCGUCACUAUUUACAAAAUUGAAAGUGAGAGAAAUUUUGUAUCUCUAUUUAGCAACUUCGACGGAGGCAGUUAGUUUGGUACUCAUCCAAGAGAAUGAAAAUCGAAUUCAAUGACUUAUUUACUACACCAACAAAGUACUUCAUAAUAUCGAAAUAAGAUAUUCAAGGGCAAAGAAGAUAAUUUAUACUCUAAUCAUAUCAUCACAGCGACUUCAUCCAUACUUUCAAGCACAUCCUAUUCUUGUCUUGAUAGAUCAAUCAUUGAAGAUGAUUUUAUACCGACCUAAUACUUCAGGUCGAAUAACAAAGUGAGCAAUAAAACUCAACGAGUUUGAUAUUCAAUAUCGCUCACGUCCAUUAAUGAAGGCAUAAAUUUUGAUCGAUUUCAUCGUCGAGUGCAUCUUACUUGACAAUAAUCCUGAGGAUGAAUCCAACAAUAAAAUAAAGUAAGUUAAAACUUCCGAGUCUGACUUAACAUCGAUGUGGGUGCUAUAUAUUGAUGGAGCAUCCAAUGCACAAAGUAGUGGAGCCACCUCAUCCUCGUCAAUUUCAAAGGGAUUGUAACCAAAUAUGCCCUUUGAUUUAAUUUUAAAGCUUUAAAUAAUCAAGUCGAGUAUGAAACUCUUCUAGCCGGCUUGAAGAUUGUCAAAGAGCUUGACAUUGAUAACCUGAAGGUCUUCACUGAUUCACAGUUGAUUAUCGGACAAGUUAUGGAUGAGUUUAAAGUCUGAGACCCCAUUAUGAUGAAGUAUCUUCAGAAAGUAAAAGAUUUUACAUCAACUUUAAAAUAUUUUAAGAUCUUUCACAUUCUAAGAACAGAGAAUGCUCGAGCUGAUGUAUUUUUUUAACUUACAAUUACUUCAUUCAACUCGUUAGGUCGGACAUUCAUCGAAUGUCUCGAGCAAUCGAGCAUUGAUAAAGUCGAAGAAGUACUACAACUCAAUGAUGAGCCAAGCUGGAUGGAUCCGAUCAUCUAGUACUUGACUGAUGGAACUCUACCUGCAGAUCCUUCAGAAGCCAAACGACUAAGAUGGAUGGCCUCACAAAACAUCUUAAUGAAUGGACAACUCUAUAAAAGAUCGUUAUCUUCUCUUACUGAAGUAUUUGAGACCAGCGGAUGCCAACUAUGCACUCCAAGAAGUUCAUGAAAAAAUUUAUGAAAAUCACUUGGGGGCAAAUCUUUAGUUUAUAAAGUUUUACGAUAAGAAUAUUAUUGAUCCAUCAUGAAGAAAGAUGCAGCUAAACUUGUCCGAAGAUAUAAACCAUGCCAGAAGUAUGCUAAUAUACAAUAUCAAUCGACUAGUCAACUGACAUCAAUUGUUGCACCAUGAUCCUUCGCACAAUGAAAAAUUGAUAUAUUUGGUCCUUUCCCUCCGACAUUUGAUCAGAGAAAGUUUAUUGUAGGUGCCAUCGAUUACUUCACCAAAUGAGUAGAAGCUGAACCUUUAGUACAAAUCAUCGAAAGUAAGAUGGAAGAUUUUAUUCAGAAGUCAAUCAUAUGCAGAUUCGAUCUACCACAUACCAUCAUCACUGAUAAUGGUCGACAAUUCGACAAUCAGAACUUUAAAGAGUUAUGUGCAAAAUUUUAUAUUACGUACAAACUCACAUUAGUCGGCCAUCCACAAUCAACAGUGAGUGGAAGUAACCAAUCGAAUAAUUUUACAUGAUCUUAAGACCAGACUGAAUGAAGCUAAAGGCCUCUGGGUAGAAGAACUAUAUCCGAUCUUAUAGAUAUAUCGGACAACUCCUUACAUACCGAAGGAAGAAUCGCCAUUCAACCUGGCCUAUGAAACAGAGAUGGUGAUUCUAUUUGAGAUCGGAUUGCCAUCAGCAAGAGUGAGAUAAUAUAAUGAGCCGAGCAAUUCAGAAUGUUAGAGAGUCGAUCUAAACUUACUUUAAAAAGUCUGACAGCAAGCUAAAGUUUAGAUGGCAGCAUACGAUAAAGAGUAGCCCGAUAUUAUAACACAAAAGUUAAGCCAAAGAUCUUCCGUACAGAAGACCUAGUCCUAAGAAAAACAAAAAUUUCAAAGCAUCUGGAUUAAAAAAAAUUAUCUCUAAAUUGAGAAGGACCGUAUCGAAUAAUUGAAACACUUCGACAGGAUGCAUAUCGAUUAAAAAUACUUAAUCGAAUAACUAUUUCUCAGACUUGAAAUACCGAUAAUUUGAAGGUAUAUUAUCAAUAAAGUUGAUCACAUAUAAAUAUUCAAAAUGAAACAUUGAAAUUAAGAAUCGUGAAAGCUUCAAUCAACUACAUCUACAAAAUGUCAUGAGGCUGAUAAAUAAUCAGUUAAUCUUUACCAACUAUAUCUCGAUUUUUCACUGUAAAAAUCGACAUACUGAUUAUAUCUUGAUUUUUUACUGUAAAAAUCAACUUUAAUCGAAUGACUACUUAUGUCGAUUUAGUUUUAACUAAGUAGAAUAUUAUGUCAAUUCGACUCCGAUCGAAUAAAAAAUACAUCGACUUGACUACGAUCAGUCGAAGGAUAUUUAGCUUACCAUCAUCUAUCAAAUAGCUAAACAUACCAACUUGACUACGGUCAGUCAAAAGAUAUUCGACUUAUCACCGUCUAUCUAAAUGCCUAAAAGGUGUAUAAGGUAUGUUAGCUGACACUCGACUAAUGGAUAAAUGCUACUAUAAUUAUUAUUGAACAUCCGAUUCACAAAUAGGUAAUCAAUUGUCUGACUGUGAUUCCAUAAUUUUAAAAGUAUAAAUAUAAAAAAAGAGUCUGUACUAAAAAAAAAAAUUUAUUCAUCGAAGAGAAGGUUACAAAAUUGGACCCAAGGUCCGAUUACAAAAUUUGUCUGAUUACAAAAAGAAGAAAGGAAAGUGUUACACCGAUCACCAGUCAGUUUCUUCAUCACCUUGCUUCAGUACAGCCUCGACAGUUGGAGUAGGACCUGAUGCAGUCGGUGCAUCUCCUUCAGCCGAUGUGGAACCCUCUUCAGUAGUCUCUUCUCCCGAAUUAGGAGGAAUGAUGCUGCUCAAGUCCAAAUUCGGAUAUAAUUUUUCGAUCGUAUCUCGAUCAUCUUUGUAUCCGACACAGUAGGAGGCGAAUCCAUCCUCGAGAAUCUCCUCGAAUUCUUUCGAAUUCUUGAAGUUCUUGAUAACCUCAGGGUGCCUCUCGCCGACUCUGCUUUAGCCUUUAUGGAGGCCGACACAGCAUCAGCCAGUGCCAUCCUCUCUAGGAUGGCCCGACGCCUUUUAUGCUCCGCUUCCAACUCUUUAAUGCAGCCGUCUCUCUCUUUAGAGCCAACUGAUGGAGUAUUUUUUGCUCUUGAUCCGAGACUCGAGAGAUGUGAUGUUCUAAUGAGCCGACUCAGGUUCAGUUCUGGAGGAUUGAAGGUCGGCUGUCAUAUAAGAGAUCUCUUCUUGAAGCUUCUUCUUUCAUUCAAUUAUCGUCUCGAGUUGUUUGACCACAGUAGUCUUUUUGGUGUUGGCGGCCACCACCUUAUCCAUCUAUGAUCGGUGAAAGUCGGCGAUCUUUCUAUAUCCACUCUCUAAAGCGUGCAUAUCGUGCACCCACUGAAAAGAAAAAAUAAGUCAAGUCAGAUAAAAAAAAGAAAGAAUGUCAGAAAAUUACUCCAAGUAUCAUCGGGUAAAAGGAAGAAAACAUCUUGGACACCAUCCGAUUCUUUCUGUUCUUCCUAGCAAUCAGGAGAAGAGCAGCUUUGAUGAGUCAUCUAGCCAAUAAUGGAUUGGCUAAAGCUGACUCACUGGUGGAGAUCUGCAUGUCGAAGAAGGUGAGAAGGCCCGCGGAUGACCCAUCAUUGGUAGAAGUGGCCAGCACCUUCCCUCGAUCUCCAGUCGGCAGUCGCGCGCUUGAGACCGCCAUAAAGUCAUUGCUUGACUGCACCCAAGACCGCUCCACUAGAGGAAUAGCUGGCACAGCAGCAGAUUGUUCGAGUUUGGCCGCGACUGCUGAUUCAGUCCGAACCCCCACUGAUGGAGCCGCUGAUAGUUCUACUGUGGCCCCUUCAUCUCUCACCGUCCCGACUCCAGCAGACGGUGCAUCAGUUGGAGGAAGCAUUGUCGGGACCGACAAUGCUAGGACCGACUCGGGAGCUAUCUCUGAUGGAAUGUCGUGUUCUCUUGCCGGUACCGACAGGGUGUCAACCCAACUCUUUCUCAACGGUUGGGAAGAUCCAGCGUCAGUCGCUACCCUCUUCUUGGCAGCAUGUAGGCAGAUGUCAACAGUCAAAACUCAUGCCCUCAUCCGCAUAGCUGCAAUCAAAGAAAAAAGAUCAGUACAGAAUCUAGAAACAAAAAAAAAAGUGAAGUGACCGACUAUGUUAUACCUAAGAAAGUUACCAAACUAAGUCCGGCAUCAUAGAGUGCAUGUUCGGUCAUCAGCUCUCACUGCGGUGGAACUUCCAUAUCUUUUAAUUGGAAGAAGUCUUUCCAAUCGACAGAAUCUACCCGACUAUUCUCAUUGGGGCUAGUUCUCGGAUCACCCCAGCACGAAGAAAAGCCUCAGGGAGAUAAAGAAGAAGCAAAGAAAAAUUGAUUCUUCCAUCCAUAAAUGGAUGAUGGAAGAUCAAAGAUAAAAGAAAGACCCUUCCUCUAGUUGAAAAACCACCAAUCCUUAGCCUUAGGAUGAGGAUGGAGAACAAAAAAGGCAUGAAAUAAAGAAGGAUGAGGAUCAGUCAGAAGAAGCCAACAUAACAAAACAAAACUAAUGAUCAGUCGGAUGAAGUUCGGAGCCAGCUGAGCAGGACAAAGAUUAUAAUAGUCAAAAAAAUUUUGGACGAACUCCGAAAUCAAAAAUUGAAAACCGAUCCGAAGAUCUUCGACAUAGAACACAACCUGGUCUAGAAGAAAAAAAUUCACCCGACCAUCUAAACCAAGAACGAAAAGCUGAUAAUGCUUCGGGAUACAGUACUAUUCUCAGAGCCAUUCAACAAUGGGCUCAGAUAAGGAAGAGACUUUCGUCUUCAGAUUCGAAAGAGAAUCAUCAAUCAGAUUCUCCGACCAACUAUCUCGAGAGAAUGAAGCUUUUUUACUUGCCAUUGAAAAUGAGAAUCAAAAGAAAAAGAAAACCCUAAAAGAAAGAAAGAAAAACUCGACCUGGAGCUAAAGAUGAUGCAAGGAAAAAUAAAACUCAAAAUGCUCUUAACACUGGGGCAGAACCUUCUGUCGCAGGGGAGAGUGACGAAUGCAAAAGUAAAAAAUCCAAAUGAAAGCGACUUUAUAUAUAUAUGAUCCCUCAACGAUUUGGAUGAAGUCACUCAAAUCAAGAUCUUUUUAAAUAUCAACACGUGGCUACAUCAAGACUGACCAUUGAUUGGACGGUUCGAUGCAUCUACUCUCAGAUCAUGCUACCUCACCAUUAUCCGCAUGAAUAGCAUAAAGCCAAUGACAUCCAGAUAUGUGGUCAAAAUCUACUACUCAGAAUCAAAUUGUCUGGAUUCUCCGGAAGCUGAAUUAUCUUUCCGAAAUGACAUCUCAAUGAUGAUCUUACAGUUAUCAAAAUGAUAAAAUAGUUGGAGACCUCUCGUAUUUAAAAAAUUAUUAAUGCCUGCAGUCGAAUCAGAGCUCGAGACAACACAUGACAAACUUCUUUCAUCCAAUAUGAUAGAUCAUGUGACAACACGCAUGUCAGACUACUUUGGACUUGAGAGUGGAGGGCAACUGUUAGGAUAAUUUAACUGACCCCUGAUUCUGAUCUAAAUCGGCUUCAUGGACAUAAAAUAUCGACUAACAAUCAGUUGGUUGACCUACAGUCGGCUAUCCCCAGCCAUCAACAAAUUUAGCUACGACAACUCGACUAAUUUUAGAUCGAUGACUAUCAGCAUAUCAGAAUUACCAAUCGAUGUUCAUUCGGAUCUCUUCGACUGCCGACAUACGAUUGACAUACUAUUGUUACCGACAUAUAGUCAGCUUACCUGAAACUGCUAGCACAGAAAGUGAAUAAUGGCUAAAACAUGAUCAGUGACGGAUAUAACCAUCCAUCCCACGAUAACAUAAUAUCGAAACAUGCGGGAUCCACAUGUCUAAUCGUUACAAAUGGUUACCAGCUAUUCGUUUAUAAAAGGAGGUAAAUGAAUAGCACUUAAUAAGAUAAUUCUGGACUGAUACUCUGUCACUUUGAAUUUUCUAUCUGCUGUUCAUCAUUUUUCACUGAUUUAAGCAUCGGAGGGUCUCCGUCGGACAUAAUUUUGAUCAGUGUAGACUUCUUUUGCAGGUGCUCUUCUCCGACAACGGACGCAACAAAGGAUUGGCCAUAACAGAUGACAAUCUAUAUUACUGAGAAUCAAUAUUAUCUUCCAAAAUUAUUCGGUGAUGCGCAACCAUAGAGGUAGAUGCUGUUCCAGAACCCAGCAUUCACUUUAUAUGCGCAACUAUCUAAAUGUUGCAUGGUGACUACGCUGCAUGAGAUUGAUGUGCUGGAAAAAUCACUAAUUUAUAUAGGUGUAUGUUUUGAUGCAUCAUGAUCAUGAUAAUUAUAGUGAUGGGACAAGACUACCAGAUAUGAUCUUUAAACUUGACUCUCAAUAUAGAGCUAUUAAGACGGAUCAGCCCACCCCGACCCACCUCUAAACGGGUCGGGGCGGGCUGGCCCAUUUAACUGAUGGGUUGGAAAAACUCCAACCCGAUCCGACCCACCAUGAGCCACGAGUUAAAUGGGCCAACCCAUCAAAAUUCAAAAAAAAAAUCUAUAAACAGUAAUAUAAACUGAAUUUCAUAUUCAAUUUGAGCUCAAAUCAACCUAUCAAAGUCUCACAUCUCAAUUCUUAGAGUCAUAAAAUGAAAUUGUCAAACUUAAACUAAAUAUUUAAUACAAUCCAAACUUAAAAGAUUUUAAGUUUUAAUUUUCAAACUAAUUUAAAGGCAAAUCAAAGUCUCAAAAAAUUAUCCACUAUAUCAUUAUUGUGGUCCUCAUCGUUCAAUUGUUCAUCUUCUUCCUCUUCUUCAUCAAUUAUCUCUUCAAUAACAUUAGAACCUUCUUUUGAAAAAAAAAAAAAAAAUAUAUAUAUAUAUAUAUAUAUAUAUAUAUANNNNNNNNNNNNNNNNNNNNAUGUAUGUAUAUAUAUAUAUAUAUAUAUAUAUAUAAUAUAUGUAUAUGUGUGUGUGUGUGUGUGUGUGUGUAUAUAUAUAUAUUAAAAUGAGGUCUCUAUAUUGAUAGGGCCUCCAUUUGACAUAUGAGGUUUUGGAAAAAGAAGAAGAGAGUCACGUGGAAAUAAGAGUCUUGACGCUACAAAAUAGUGGUGGGAGCCACCCCCUUUUUGAUCCCAAUGCCACAAAACCCUAGCCAUCACCUAAGCUUUUCUAUUCGGCCGCUUCCUCCCUCCUGAUUAAGACUCCUAAGGAUGUAAAAACUACAAAAAAAUUAGGAGAAAAUGUAAGAAAAUCAAUGAAAACAAUGGAAAGAUGGAAAAAAAAUGAAAUGUAAGAUUUUUUCCCACAUAAAUUGAUCAUUUUUUUCACUCCUUUUUCUUUUUGAGAGAUCCAUGGGAAAACGUAGGAACAAUCAAUGAAAAUAAGGAAAAGAUGGAAACAAAAUUGAAAGAUAGACCUUUUCCCACAUAGCUUGAUCAUUUCUUUUCCAUUUCACUUUUUUUUCUUUAUGGGACAUUGCAGGCAUGACACCAAGCUUCGAUAUGGAACCCUAAGUCGGCAUGGCUGGCGAAUGGUGGCGGAGGAAAAAGAUCACCUUGGAAGCCAGUCCAACGAUGGUGGGGGUGGGGAGGGGGUAGAAAAGCUUGAAGACCUCCUUGAUAUUGGUGGCUGAGAUGCGGACACUGGCAUUAUCGAGGGCAUGCUCUAUGGUGGAGUUGGGGUGGGUGUUAGCAAUCAGACCAUUACAGUGGCAUCCUCCAUUUCAUGUUAGACGGUGAGGAUGAUGAGGGCAUCGGAUAUCUAAAUAGCUUUCUGUUGUGGCAAAGUUAUUUACUAGUUUUUUAUUGUUUUGACAAAGUAACAUUUAUAUGUAUUGUCAACAAUUUCUUAGGACCUGUUCUUUUGUGAAUAAAUAUCAUAGAAAAGCUGGUCAAUUUUUUCAGUGACCAAUUUACUAAUGUACCCACAUUUUUCAAGAUGGAUAAUUAUUUUUUCAUGGAUGGUAUUUAUCCAUGAAAUAGAAAAAAAUCUUACCCACCUAGGAGAUGGCUAAAUAAUUUUUUUCAUCAACUAAAAAAAUAACCUCUUUAAUUUAUUCCUAAUAUAACCUUAACCUUAUAAUAAUAUAAUAUAACAUAUCAUAUAAUAUUAUAUUAUAUUAUUACAUAAUAAUAUUUAUAUAAUAUUAUAAUAAAUUAUUAUAGUAUAAUAUAAAAUAUUAUAAUUUAAUAUAAUAUAUUAUAAUAUAAUAUAGAAUAUUAUAUUAUGAUAUUAUAAUAAAUUAUUAUAAUAUAAUAUAUUAUCAUAUAAUAUUAUAUUAUAUCAUAUUAUACUAUAUUAUGAUUAUAUUAAUCUAAGAUAUUAAAAUAAUAUAUUAUCAUAUGCUAUAUUCUUAUAUACUAUAUUAUUAUAAUAUAAUAUACUAUUAUAUAUAUAAUAUAUAUAAUAAAGGGUAUUAUGAAAAAUAUGGAUAGAUCUUAGCAACUAAUCUAGGAAAUCAGUCAUACAAAAAAAUAUGGACAAUAAAUUUUUGAGUCAUUUUUUAAUGUAUAAAAGAAUAUAGAUAAAUUAUUUUUCUAUCUAAAUAUUACCUAAAAAAUAUUUAUCCAGAAAAAUAUAAAUUUUUGAAUAAUUUUUUUACUCUCAAAAGAUUGGGCCCUUGAGGUCUCAAUCAUCCAAUUAAGAGAUUAUAUUGUAUACAAUCCUGGAUCAAUCAGUAUUGCAUGGUGAUGAGAUGUAGCAAUAUGUCAUUCACUAAAUAUUGAUAGGAAUAAAAAAUAUAAUUAUAGUACUCAACACAUUUUAUAUCUGAGGAUGAUUUGCAUGCCCAAUGACCAAGGCAUAAGUAUUGAGAUGUUGAAUUAAGCAACCUUUUGUUUUCAAUUGAGCAGUUCACAGCGUCCAACUUUUCUAUUUUCAAAAAAUUACUUUGAUUGGCUUUUGCACAAGGUGAAAGGGUUUUGUUUUUGAAAUGCCAUAAGCUCUAUUUUGUUUGGAUUGAUGAGUGGUUUGGGAUGACCAUGGAGCAUGUGUGUGAGUUGGAAAGAAAAAAUAAUUUAUUACUCAAUAAGAUAAGUUAUUAACAAAUCACAUGAUACUAUUUAUGAAUAUUUUAUCCUCUCUCAUAAGUAGCAUUAUGAAAGAUGUGUGCAACUUAAAUCAUAGAAGUUUUUAGUAUCUCCAAACAUGGAUUUCUUGCUUAACACAUAAAGUUAAGACGGAUGAUAGUAGGCUUUUUAUAAGAAUUAACUGAGACCACCAACUUUUUUAGCAAAUUUUUUAUAUGUUUAUUUAUUAAACUAAUACAGUUGGUUGUUAUUUACCUCACUACUUCAUAAAUCUAUAAUCACUUAAAUGCCAACUUACUAGAAGUAGAUCAUAGAUAGCUCAUAAUGUAUACCAUAUAAAUACCGAGAUAAGAGACCAUUAGAUAGCAAGGCUUUUCUUAUUAUCUGUUUCCUAAGAAUUGGACCUCAUAACUUUCAAAACUAAUGACUUUACGUAGCAAUGCUACUAAAGCUCGAGAAGUGGCCAAUCAAGAGCUUGGCCUUCGAGAUCAAAUAUCUCAUAAGAUGGCAGGUGAGUAGGCUUUUGGAUCUGCUUGUUGGGAUUUUUGCAUCAGUCCAUAAUCUCCUUUAUCUUUUUUUAAUCAAUUUUUUUUAGUUCAAUAAGAUGAUUCUUUUAUGUACAGUAUCAUUAUGAAUAUCUAAGAAUAGUGAACGCACAGAACAUCAUAAUCAAAGUCUCUAGUUUCAUCAUUAAUGACUAAAAUCACAUGUAUUACAUGAGAUUAUAAGCUAGUUAGAUUUAAGAUAGCAUACAUUUAAAUCUCACAUAUUUUGAGAGUAUAAAAUAUUCAAAUAUUAAAAAAAAAUUCAUUAAAUUAUGAUUGGGAAUAAUAGGGCUUUGGAUCUUCUUUGGUCUAAUAAAAAAAACUUCUCUUCCAAGCGGGGAAGCUGACCAAAUCCAAAUUAGUUUCGGGAUGUAAUUAUUUGCUUGUGCCAAAAUGGAUCUAUUUGGCUAAAUGGGUUGAAAAUUUUAUUGAAUUCAUAUAUUAGGUCAAUAAAAUUAGUGAGACAAUAGAUUUGCAGUCUAAACUUAGCAUAAAUCUAAGGUUGGUUUUGGAGUGAGCUGGUUUGAAUUAUAGAGGAAGGAAAAAAAUCUAUAAAUGUUGUAAAAAAUCGUUGGCCUCUUUUGGUCUAGAAUUUGACCAAUUAUAGUAAAAAAAAAAAAAAAGGAAGGAGGAAAGGGCAAUGGCUGGCGGUGAUGCAGCAGCCACACGACAACAAUGAACAGCGAACAGACUCGAUCUGAUAGAAAUCCAACGGAUACCACAUCUUGGACCGUGCUAUCGAGUUGACCUUGACCACCCUCCACUGUUUGACGAAGCCGCCAGGCAGAAUAUCUUUUAGGUGUGGGAAGCGUCAGAUCAAAAUCAAAAGGCCACCAUCUCGCCACAACGGAUCAUCGAUCUCUUUCACAAACGUCGAGUUCCAGCUUAAACUAAUAGCAUCCACGCAGGCCAAUGCUUGCGAGCUAAAAAUAACAAUCUACGCCCAGGUGUAUAUUUUUUAUUUAUUUUAUACGGUCGACUGGAAUAGAUUGAUCCACGAAAUUUCGUUAGUACUUCCUGUAAUCGAUCCAGCCAUAGACCCCCGCACGGUGGCAUUUAUGCGAAUAAGCUUAACGACCAGGGCACUUAACUUGCAAGGACACCUCAUUGUUUGGUACACACCUCACCCAAAAAAAAAAAAACCAAACAAUGACGAAUAACCUAACGAAUAACCCGAAAAAACCAAACAAAGACGAAUAGCCUAACAAAUAACCCAAUAAAGACCAAACAAAGACGAAUGAACGUCCCUUUAGACCGCUCUUAGACGGCGGUCCCCACGAUCCCCGCUUCGUCAAGUUCGUUUAGUUUAACAUCGUCUCUACUUCGGACGGCAGCCAUCCAGUGAUCGCGUGGGUUCCCUGCUCAUCGUUCUAUCAAAUAACUACUUGCCACGUGUAAAUUCCGUGGGUCCCAUGUCGUUCCAUAGAUUUAUUUGCCGAUGCCGCAUUCCCUGUUCUGAGUAGAACAGCUGAUCAAACCCAUUCGCAAUAAUUGCUCUUAAAGUUUAUAUAAAAUGGCGAUUUUAGCCCUUCUCUUCUCCGCCCACUCCCAUUGCAAUUGGGGAUCAGGUACAGUCCCAAAUACCAAACUCCCAAUCGUUUCUUCCUUCUCCAUUCCCUGAAUAAGAACAAAAAACAACUCCUCCAUAGAAAGGAUUCGAGAAAAAGAAGGAAAUAGAAGGGAAGCCACCUUGCUAGCUUCCAUUCUUUCUUCUCGUUUUUCUGUAAUAUUUUGUCACAUUAUAUUUCCAGUAAGAGUGGCGGAGAAGUUUGAUGAAUAGAAUUAGGAGCCAGGAAGAGUGAGAGAAAGAAAGAGAGAGAGAUAGCGAGAGGGGUUUUAAUUGGUGUGGUGUUGGGGGAUGGGAUUCUCCACGGAUAAUCUGAAGGGGUUGGUGCUGGCGCUGCUCUCAAGCGGGUUCAUCGGAGCCAGCUUCAUCAUCAAGAAGAAAGGCCUCAGAAGGGCCGCCGCCGCUUCUGGGAUCCGAGCAGGUCGGUCAACCCCAAUAUAAACUCAUCUCACUCUCUCUCUUUAAUUCUUCACGAAUUUUGAUGUAGGUGUUGGUGGAUAUUCGUAUCUCUUGGAGCCCCUCUGGUGGGCUGGCAUGAUCACAAGUAACCUCCUUUCUCCUUAUUGUAUACAAAAUAAUUAUAACUUUGGUAUCAUUUAGUUUAUAUAACAGUGUCACGCGCGAUCGGUUCAUUUAGAUCACUGGUUGUCUGGCAUGAAUUAAUGGUGAGAUAUUUGUUCAGUGAUCGUCGGAGAAGUCGCGAAUUUUGUAGCAUAUGCGUUCGCGCCGGCAGUUCUUGUUACUCCUCUUGGCGCGUUGAGCAUUAUCGUUAGGUAGAUCCUUAACCACUUGUGUACUGGAAUUUAAGAGCUAUGUGGAUCAUCUGUGACUGUUAAUGUGUGCUGAUGGCGUCUGGAAUGGCAUGUGUAGUGCUGUGUUGGCUCACUUCGUUUUGAAGGAGAAGUUGCACAGUCUUGGGAUUUUGGGUUGUGUGAUGUGCAUUGCAGGGUCUGUGGUGAUUGUCAUUCAUGCACCGCAGGAGAGAGAAAUCAGCUCGGUUCAGGAAAUAUGGAAAUUGGCUACUCAAACGGGUAAGCUGAUUUCUUCACUUUGUGUCUUUUUUUUUUUUUAAUAUAAAUAUCGAUUAAGUUUUAUUAUAUGCUUGGAUUGGUUGUUUUCAGCUUUCCUGCUGUAUGUGGCUUCGGUUAUUGUAUUGGUGUUCGUGCUAAUUUUCCAUUUUGCUCCACGCUAUGGGCAUACAAAUGUGUUAAUUUACACAGGCAUUUGCUCUUUGAUGGGCUCUCUCUCGGUAAUGAUUGUAUUUGGUAAUUUGUUGCUACUUUCUUGUUUAUAUUACUAUGCUACAAUUUAAUCUAUAAAACACACGCAAAGGGGAAUAGAAGUUAAGACUCCAUAUGUCUUAAAGUAUAAAUAUACUAUUUACUCUCUAUGAUAUUUUUACAUAUGCAGGUAAUGAGUGUCAAAGCUCUGGGUACUUCGCUCAAGCUGACUUUUGAGGGUAUGAAUCAGUUAAUUUAUCCCCAGACAUGGUUUUUUAUGCUCGUAGUGCUUACAUGUGUGAUAACACAAAUGGAUUAUCUUAACAAGGUGAGUAAUGACAUAGAAUAUAUUUGUUUCCCUAUGUGCUUAUAAUUUUGCUGGGAUUUCUUCCUGUUGAUGUUUUUGGGUUUGAAGCCAAUUUCUUUUUUUAAUAUAAACAUAACUAUAAGAAGUAAAUUUUUGACUUUGGAAUUAUUAAGUUUCUGUGUAUAGAUUUCGUGUAUAUGAUAUUGUUUCCUUAGUUGAUUCAAGCAUAUUUUGAUUCAUCCCUGUUGCUUUAAAGCAUCGUUGGUCUUUGAUUGCUCAACCUUUUUUAAUUUAUUUAACCCAAAAUGCUGCAUCAUUAUAUUUUCUGUAAAGAACAACAACAAACUGUCUUUUGCAUUAUCCCUGUAACAAGAUCACCUAAAUUUUCAAACUGACUCAUAGUUGGUUUCAGUUUUACAAAAGAAGAGGCAACUAGUGAUUUUAAACAUAAAGUCGUCUCAUCCUGAAUCUAGCCACAUGAAAUAUGUGAAUUGUAGUAGGUUCAAGCUACAUCAUAUUGCUAUGUAGUGCACCCAGCCAGCCCAGUAUAGGUUCACACCAUUUAGGCUGGAGUGGGUGGUGGUAUUGUGUGCUGGUGCCAUAUCAUGCCAGCCUGGCAGUGGCCAUGUGUGUAACUUGCCGGUGCUUGGCAUGCCUUCAGACCAUGAAGUGGCAAGCAUUGACAUGCAGCUGGUAAUGUGCCAGCGUUGUUUGCCGGUAACUCACGAUCAUGACCUACAUCAUGCCAUAUUAACAGUGCUGAUCAGUAUGUUGAUCCAUGGUGUGACUUAUCUCGAUAGGCUCCCUACAUGGUAUGUACGACAUUAUUCUGUAUGUGCCAGCACUUUUAGUCCCAAUAAUUGUCAAAUUACUAGAUCACGAUCUUUUCAAGUAACAAACUAUCAUACAUGUAAUACAGCCAUUUCAUCACAGUGUUCAAUAUAUGCCAAUGUAGUAUUUUAUAACUAUAUGAGUUUUUCCAUCUCUAUUGUGUGAAAACAAAAAACUUCUGUUAGAUUCAGCGAUAGUUCCUCUAUAUCAGAUCAAGUCUAGCAAAUCAAUGGAUUUUAAUAUGAUUAAGGUUUGGUACUGAAUAUUUUUCUUUCUGAACAGUUAUUUUGUUGUAUUUUUUAGUGAGGGCCAAGUGUGUAGAUUUGCUUGCACGAAUGGACUUCUUCCUCUUAUGAUUCUCUUUGAUGAAUUACUGUAUAAUAAAAAUUCUGCAUCACCUACAAUAUUAAUAUUAAUAACAUCAACUGAAUGAGUAAUAGUCUCUCAAAACAGUUUAAGGAGAUGAUCACUAAAUCAUGGUGCAAGUAAACUGAAAAGUUUUAGAUAGCCACGUUACUUUCAUAGUACGCGGUAGCCAGGAUACAGGUACUGUUAGGUCAUAUGAAAGUGUUCUAUAGGUUGUAAGACUUUGGAAGUAUCUGAUAAAGGUAUCUCAUUAUAAAUUGACAGCAUUUGAUACUCUGUUUUUAUAUGUUCAUGCUUUUAAUUUCUUAGUUAAAGAAUUAGGAAAUUUGUAUGCAUGCAUCACAUUCAAUUUAUUUUUUAAAAAGUGAAACUAAUUGAUCAGUUUAACUGUGUAGUUGUUAAUAAGUUGAAUGUCAUUGAGUGGAAGAAAGAAUUAGCAAGUGUUCUCCGUGGAACUCAUAAAAAAAAAGAAAUUUUACAUAUACUCUUUCCAUCAAUAUUUAUCUAGCUAUCAUGCAACCGUAUCUGAAUACUCUGCUGGAUAGUGGCUUUAAUGUGCUUAUGACUGGUCAAGUUAUCAAAUGUAGUUUUUGGAAAUUUUACCUUUUUUUGUCUUAAUUAAUAUAGUUUGGUUUUAUAUCAUGUUUCUUAUCUUGUUAUGAUAUAAAGCUAUCUCAAUCUUGAAGCUAAUAGAGUUUUUAUCUAAACCAGGAAAUAGAAAUAUUUUUUUUAUUUAAUUUUCUUAUGCAUCUGUUAGAUUUUUUUUUUAUUUGACUCUUUUUUUUUAAUUUUUCAGGCUCUGGACACCUUUAAUACUGCCAUUGUGUCUCCAAUAUAUUAUGUGAUGUUCACCACACUUACAAUCCUUGCGAGUGUCAUAAUGUUCAAGGUAUUGUUUGAUAGUUGUAUUAAUUGCAGGUCUUAUAAAGAUAUCCUUGUAUAGAGUUGUUAUCAAUCAAUUUAGCACUGAUCAUGCAAUCACUUAUGCAUGGCAACCACAGUGGAGAUUAUAGUUAUCUUAAUGAUGUGUAUCAUCAACUUUAGUUUAACGAUAUAACUGCUUGAUUCAAAUUUAUGAAGCUUGAGAAGUUUCAUAUAAACUUAUACCAUCUGUCUUAGUGUCUUUUGUUCAAUGCAUUGUUCAUGCUCUGGCAGUUGCCAGAACUGUCUUCCCUUCAAUUUGAAAUAUAUAAGCUAAACACCACUUGCAGGAUAAUCAUUGCCCAAGAAUCACACCUAACAUGUGACCUAACCUUAGUAAGAAGAAUGCAGCUCUCGUCACACCUCAUUAAUCAACUUAUAUCCUGCUAGCUUAUGGUGAUCAAGGAAGACUGUAGGUCUGCUGCAGGUAGCAUUGACAUGUUCUGUGUUUUUGGCAUCAAUCAGCAGGCUUAUCAUUUGAUGUUUACAUGACUUAACACUUUUAUAUCUGGAAUUUUGCUGAAAUUGUGCCUUGACAUUCAAUUUCCUAGAAGAACUAAUGAUCAGGCUGUCCAUUAGUCCAAACAAUUUAUAGCUUGUCUCCAUUUUACUGAAUACAGCAACGAGAGCACCUUUGUGACACAAGUCAUUGUUGAAGAUGUUUAAUAUGGGCCUAUGUGGUAUGCACCUUUAUUCAUUAUGUGCAUAAGAUUGUCUCUGUAAAUCAGAUAAAUGGAAACACCUUGUAUGCUCUCACCUUAUUUUGACACACAAUUGGGUUUUAUGACACCACCCACCAGUUAGAUUUCUUUUUCUCCAUUUUCCUAUGAGAAGGAUUUCUUUGGGGAGCCUUGUGCUGGAUCUUCAGAUCAUUGCUUAAUGAGUCACUGCAAGUCAAGUUCCAACAUGAUUGCAGGAUUGGGAUGGACAAAGCAUGGGAAGCAUCAUUUCUGAAAUUUGUGGCUUCAUUGUUGUUCUCUCUGGAACCAUUUUAUUACAUGUGACAAAAGACCAUGAUCGGAACUCCUCAAGAAGUGCGUGAGCUAGCCUGCCAUAAUUUUGAAGCGUGAUUUUCUGCUUUGCUUGCUUUCAAACUAUUGCUCCUGUAUGAACCUGUGUUUUAUAAUUUUGAACAUAAUGCAGGUAUGUAUGCACCAUUAUCCCCGUCUUUGACUACUAGACUUUGUGGUGGAAAUGGGGAACUGCUGAAGCACAUUGAUGAGGAGAUGGGAUCUUCAGAAGAUAUAUGCUUGAGAAGACAAGAGCUAUACUAGCAACUUGAAACAAAGAGUUAGUCUAUGUCAACAUCCUAGGGUACUAGGAUCUCCAUAUAAGGAUUCCAGUCCGGUGGCUCAAACUUGUAGAAUUGAGUUGAUUGGCAGUUGAAGAACUGAUGAGCAUUCAUGCCAUGUUGCUUCUUGUGAACUGCCACUUGGAGGCUCUUAAAACAGUUUUGUGCUGAUUGCUUGGUGGGAUGAAGAAAUAAUGGCUGGACCUCAGCUUUGCAUUCCAUUGUCUACCGUAAAGUACUCGGAGUUUGUGAGAUUCUGGGGUGAUCUUGCCCAGUGAUGGUUCAUGACUAGGUGGUUGGAAUGAUUUUUUUUUUUUGUGCAUACAUGGGCAUUCAAUUGCCAUAUCAGGAGGGUGGAAUUUCUGGGCAUAGCAUGCAUCAGAAAAUCGACGACUGGAAUUGCUUUGUUCAAGAUUGAUGGGAGAAUUGGAUAGCAGGAUCGGACUUAAGUUCUUGUUUGGUUUCAUUAUUGCAUGUAUAGAAACAAUUGAGGAAUAUCUUAUGCCAGUUUUGAGUUAUUAUUUCCACCAAAUGCACUGGAUAAUGUCAGAUAGAUUUGCUUAUUGAAUGUAUCACUAUCUCAAGCAGUGCAACGACGAUGUGACCGCAUGAUUGAUUUCAAGGUCAAACUAAGCUGCCACAUUAAGUAUAAUCUACUUUGUGGUCCUUAAAAAUCUCUUAUAGACUUGUAGUCUUAUUGAUCUCAUGUUUGAUGCCUAUGUUGGUUUCUAUGAAAACAAAAAUUCACGAUGUGAGGGACAAGUGCCACUUUCAAUAUUCGUGAACCUUAAUCAGGGACUUUUUUGUUAUUGUUCUUAUUUUUUUUGCUUUAGGCUUUCCUACAAAUUUGUGAAAUAUCACAUGGAGAUCGGUGUUCAAGAUGGCUUUGCACAAAAUUUGUGAUAUUCCUCGCUUUUAUUCUCUCUUCUGGAAGCAACAAAUCCUUGCUAUCAAAAUACUCUACAGUUUUUACAAACAAUGUAAACAAUACGAAACGGUUUUGUCAUACUUGGUCUUCAAUCCGGUUCAUUUUUCUUCUCUUGGUUUUUGAAAAUAAAAAUAGAGGGGAAAAACAAUUCCAAAGGGGGCACACCCUCCCCACCGUCCCUUUUUUUUUUUGGGUGGUAAAACUAGAGCUUCAAGCUUCAUUGAUGGUGUCGUGAGAGAAAGGUUAUCUUUAGUCUCACAUCAGUUGGAAGUCAAAAGGAAGUGUGGUUUAUGUAGAUUGAAAUCUUCUCUUCCACGUAAGGUAUUUUUUAGAGGACAAAAGCGUGAGGCUUCAAAUAGCUAUAGGCAAAGAUGGUCAGAAUCAAAAUGGACAAUACCUCACGUAUACGGGUGCGGAGGUAGAUGGUAUUUGACAACAAGAAUAUAGCAUAGGUACGAAAUAUAAUUUUGUACAUCAUGAUAAAAAUUAAAAAAAUUAUGAAAAAAAAAUGAAGGUAAAGAUAGAGAUAAAUAGCACCAAAAGAGCUGCAGUACUGCCAAUAUUAUAGUGAUCGGUGGAAAUUGCAAUUACAGUUUUGCAAAGAUAAAUAUCAAGAGAAGCAGCUGUCCCCAUCAAUAGCAUAACAAAGAUAACGUUGAGAUGUUAAACCUCUGAUCCACAGAUAUUGUGUAGUUGAACAUGACUGAGAAACAUGUUACGGAAAAUGAAUAAAAUAGUAAUGACGAUGAGAAGCAAGAAUUCAAUCCGUUUAAAAUCCCAUGUUUACCACACAUUUACUAAUAUGUUAUGAAUUACAAUGCCCUUCUUGAAGUAUGGUGACCCUGAUAAAAAAGGUGCCAUUGGCUUGUUAGCAAGGGCUCUUUCAUCUUUUGUACCAGUGAUCAAGAAUCAUAAUUUUUCUUCUCAGAGUCGGCAUAUUCAGGGGUCAAAGGAAAGGUUAACUCAAGGGCUAAACUAUCCUGUCUAGUCCAAACUUGGCUUCAGGGGCCUCCUGAAUCAAAGGAUGACCCAUGUCAAAAGGUAAAUAAGAUAUUAUUACAUGACAGCACUAUAUCAAUAGCGUAUGUAUAUUAUGUAUAUAAAUAAGAUAUUUUAUUUUAUUUUAAUUUUAUCCCUACCUCAUGAGUUAGCCAAAUACAAAUUAGCAUGGCAUGGUACGCUUAAGAAGGGCAAACUUGUCUAUUUUCUUAAAAAUAUAUCUUCCAAACCCAGUUUGCAGCUGAAUACCAUCUUCUAUACCCUCCAAAAAGCAUCCAAACUUCCUAAGUAAAAACCAGGUUAUACAACAAUUCUUACCAGAUAUAAAUUUACUUUAAAACCAAUAAAAUCAUAUCUUAAUCACACCACCAUGUUUAAACUCCAAAACUAUGUCUCAUGGAAACCGCAUCCAAAUGGGCUCUAGUGCAAAGAAAAGCAGAGUGAAGCAGGUAGGACCAUCAACUCUGAAGUGAAACCGCGCGCUACACAGACCAAGCAGCUACCAUUGGCCCACCACUUCUUUAGGAUCAAAAUAGGGAUGCAAUCAAAUCGAGAUAGGUCCACUGUCCAUAGGCUCAAAUUUGAUCCGAUUCAAAAUAUUUGGAUUCAAAAGCUAACUCAUGGUCGAUCUAGUUUUAAUAUCCAAUCUCGAAUUUGGCUCAAUCAAAAAUAAUAAUAACAAUAAUACUCAAAAUUGGCUUAGCUCAACUUGAAUAUCAACUGAGCAAUAAUUAAAAAAUAUAAUUAAAAUAUAAUAUAAUAUAAAAUAUUAAAUCAAUAAUAUAUUAUAAAUAAAAAUUAAAAAUNNNNNNNNNNNNNNNNNNNNAUAAUUAAUAAUAAUAAUAUAUAUAUAUAUAAUAAAUAAUAAUAAUAUAUAUAUAUAUAUAUAUAUAUAUAUAUAUAUAUAUAUAUAUAUAUUCAAUUAAGCUCGUGAGCUUUCUAAUUGGCUAUUUCAUUACUGGAGCUUGAUUCGAAAAUUUACUUGAGCCCAGUAAUAAUCAAGUUGAGUCCGCCAAACUACCUGCAUAUAAUUGAGAUUCCAUGGCCCACAUUGAGGCCAUGCCAAAGCAUGGUACCACCUGUCAUGGAACCGGCCCACGUUAGCCAUGCCGUGAAUGGGGCCACGAGGCAGCUCAAUGGAACCCAAAAUAUUUCAACUAUGCUCCCAUUGGACCUAAUAAUGCAAUCAUUUGACGUUGUCGGCUGCUGCUUCAUUUGCAAGCCAACGUCGUCUUCCACCCACUGGCCUCUGCAUCCUUCCAAUCAUAAUAUCUCAUUGAAUGAAACGGCAGACCAACUGCAAGCCAUCCGUCUCCCGUGUUUAAGCUGAGAAAAAUGCUUUUGGAAGGGGGUCCCACAGCUUUGUCCAGCUUGGAGAUUUAGGAAGUCAUUAUUAGCAUUCUAAUUUUGCUUGUCGUGCAAUCAACUCAAGUUCGAACCGAUUAAUUAUGAUUAUUCCAUUUUUUGAGUGUAAUGAGUUAGCUAAUAUUAAUUCGUUGCACCAUCUUCUCCCAUAUCUCAUUCAAUACCUUAUAGAAAUCACUCGGAAGAAGAAAGAAGGUUCCCACAUGGAGUAAUCAUUUUUAUUCUGGUUCAUACCAACCAUUCCGCUUCAACUCUUUGUUUAUCAUUGCAGGAUGACGUUGCUUCUAGAUAUAGUAAUGAUCUCUCUCCAAUUAAAAUUGGAAUUCAGCCUUGAGAGUGUGCUUUGUUAAGCUGUUUUAGGAGGCAUAAAGAGUUCACAUGGGAGAGGGUAUAGAGGGGUAGAAGACUUGGCUGUGGCAAUGAAAAUGGUGUGGGUGGCCCUUGGAGACUGGAUCUCGUCACCGGCAACAUCAACAUCAACUUCUCCCCCUUUGAGUAAUCCUUUGAUUAUUCCAAAGCUCUUUUUUGGUCUAAUUCUACUUUUCACAUGUUUCAUUCAUGUUCUCUCCUUUUAUCUCUCUUGCCCUUUCUUUUUAAUUAUUAGAUUUGAUGGUCACAACAAAAUCAAAUGUGCAGCAUCACUUAUCACAUCGAACCCAAAAUCAUAUCUGUUGCUGCGCCUCUCCGACAAUAUUCGAUAUAUCAAGACAGAUUGGAUCGACCACAUAACUGGAGUAGAGCAGACGCCACUCUGGACUCCGAGUACCUGCAAAAAAAGUCUACUCAUGCUGGAGAAGGAAAUGAUGGGUUCUCCGAUGGAGAACCCUCCGAUGCUUAAGUCAAAGAGUGACAGAGAGGGAGAAUAAUGAAGAAAGAUAAUGAGAGUGUUCAAAGAGUGUAGAGAAUCCCCCUUUCUUUUCUUUUAUAGCAAAGUUUGUUAGGCAGUUAGCAACCUUUCAGACCAAAGUAGUGGACCAUUAGCAAGUGCUAGCAGUUGGUUACGGUUGUCCGUAAUUGAUUACGGGGCCAGCUGUCCAUGUUCGUGUGGCAAGUGCUGCUGUUAUAAUCGAAUGUCAACUCUUCAUCAUCCACGCACCAAUAGCUUUCCAUGGUUUUCGAACUGUAGCAUAGAUCGUAAGAACUAUAGCAUCGCUAGUAGAGAACUGGGACGGCGAUGGGGUGAGAUCGACUGAAAGCCAAUGAUGUAGACUUCGUCCAAGGCCCGAUCUUAUAUGGUCAGUCAUCCGUUAAUGACAUCAUUGCUGCAUAGAGCACACAUCCUAAGUUAUCCACGUCAUAAUGCCAGGCAUCCGCUAUAUCUUCAAAGAUUGGAUACAUCAUCAGGUGUACCAAAUUUGGCCCAACACUUGCCCCUCACUCUCCAAUUCGGAAGCAUUUCAUACUGGAAAGUAGAUCAUAGCCUAGAUUAUGAGGUCAGAUGCCAUGGUGAACUCCUCGACCUUUGUGAAGCUUCAUUGAUACAAUCGAAGUGGUUGAACACUACUCCGGAUUUACACCGAUGUGAUAAGGAUUCCACUUCAACAUUGGGCCCUCAGUGACUUGCAUCAAGUCAUGGCCGAAAUAAUAUUUUAAUUGGUUCUUGGAGUCAUCGGGCGCUCCUGGGUCCGACCACCAUUCGACACUUGCAACAGCAUGAACUUCAUUGCUAAAUCGUUGUGAUGUCAUUCCGUAUUAAUUACCUAUGAUGGCACACCGUCUGAAUUUGAAAAAAAAGUACUGACACGUCCGUUAUACAAUAAUGUCAGAGCAAGAUUUGAGGCAUCAUAAUGAUUUCAAAAGAGGUGGUUUUCAAUAUGCCACCUCAAUCCAUUGAGUGGCACCGCAUGGCAAUGCUCUAGGCGUUGGAUGACAUGAGUAAGAGGAUCAUGACCGUCAAUGUUCUCAUAUUUAUUUGAUCAUUUGAUCCUGGUCUCCAUCUUUCUGCCAUUACUGCAACUCUUGUUCUUGAGGUUCCUACUGUCAAAGUCUUCUUCUCGGAUAGCGCUUGAGCAUUUCUAGAUCAAGUUCAUAGUAAGAAGUCUCCUAGGUGAUUCACCAUAAUUUUCUCCUCUUUAUUCUUUAAACUUAGAUGCUUCAGCAUUCUUCAACCUUUCCACAGUUUUCAUAGGUUUCUCUUCUCUUUUUUGGAUUUCAUGGCUCGCCAUAGACUUAAGAUGGAUAAUAGCCCUGAGUCUUCUAGUCCCUCUAGGGUAGCUUCUCAGAAGGCUUCUAAUGAGGCUUUUCAUGGUCGGGGAUGGGCAUCCCUAGGAUCCAAUUAUGAAGAGUCCCAUCUCAUUGAAUCCAACUUGAAGAAGUUUCGAGUUCAGUACUUCGUUCCCUCUUCAUUUAGGUUAAUAGCCCUUGGUAGGGAUGAUUGGGUUUCGAUUCUUCCAGAAGAUUGUGUUGCCUUCUACAAGAAGAUACUUCUCUCUGGUCUUUUAUUCUCUUUACAUCCCUUCAUCUAUUAUAUUUUAGAUUAUUAUCAUAUCCUUCCCACUCAGAUAGCCCCGAAUGGGAUUAGAUCAUUGAUAGCUUUCAUUUUGAUUUGCGAUAGCAUUAAGAUAUCUCCAUGAUGUUCGCAUUUUCGAUCUCAUUUUUUUUUAAGAAGCACCCCUAUAACAAAGAGUGGUGGUACUUCUUCCCUCGAUCGAAGUGUAAGAUUGUAGCAGAUCUUUCAUCUUCGAUCCAUAGUUGAAAGAAUAGGUACUUCUUUAUCUUCUUAAACUAACUUUGGGGUUUUAGGAUAACUUGUGGUAGACUUUGGCUAGAGCUGAACUCUAGGAAAGAUCCCUCUGAAGCUGACCUAGGAGAUUACAAAAAAUUGAUCCAGACAUAUGGCUCCCAAUUCAAAAGUCUCUUGACUGAACAGGUCUGUUUGACAUGGGCAUCAACCACGUCCCUCCUCAAUGUAUGUUACCAUUCUUUAUGCAUUUUAAUUGCUUUAUCUUCUUUUUAUUUUUGACUACUAACUAUCUUUUUAUUUUCACUGUUGUAGAGAUGAAGCUAACACUUGAUGAUAUCGUCGUAGUGCAAGCAAGAACAAAGAAGAGGUCAGGCCUACCUCCAAAAGUCAAGCCCUUGAAGAGGAAGAAGAUUACCACUUUUGGUCUACCCCGAACUCGAUCGAAGUCUCCUGAUGAAAGGGCGGAGACAUCGGAUAAGGAGCUCAGAUUGGAAGCUUCGGGAGUCCAUACACCUGAAGUGGAGGUCAUCAUACCGAUGAGUAUGUCUCCUAGACCUUUUUCAAAAGUUGACUGACCUUCUUCCAAACCAGCUGUCCGAAAGAAGAUAAUUAUACUGAUAAAGAUGGUGAAGGAGAGUGCAUCGGUGAUAAUAGACAGUCGACUGGCUAAAGAGCUGAUAAGUCUUCUACUUUUUGCAUAUUGAAAUUACAAAAAGAUCUUAUAGUGGAGAGUGAACUAGAUGCAAAAAGGUCUUACAAUGGAGAGUGAACUAGAUGCUAGUUUAAUUAGCAUCGUCGCAGUGAGCUUUUUUCUUUCUUUCUUUUUUUGCUCUCUUUCUUUUUACCUCUCACAGUUUGUGCUCCUUGUGUAGAUAGAUGAUAAACUCACUGAUCUUCAUGAGGAAAGCUUUAGUCGAGCAUAAUCGAGAUAAGGCUUCUUUUGAAGAGAAGUUGAAAAAGGUAGAGGAUGAGCGAAAGACGACUUAGAAGGAGUUGAAGGCAAUUGAGUAAAAGCUAGAAUCCACCUCUAAAGAAGUCAAAGAUGCUAAGAUUUGGCUGGGGUUUGAUCUUAAGGAGUCCCGUGAAAGAAUAAAGACUUUGGAUCAAGACGUUAAGAAGGACCAGGAGGAGAGGAAGAGAAAUUUGGCUGACCACCGGCACUACAAGAAGAAGACCAAGAAGGCCCUUCUUGGAGUGGAGGAUAAAAUCAGACAUACAAGGGUCCAAGCAGUGAAGGACUACAAGGCGUCCAAAGACUUCAGAGUUAAAGUCGUCGAAGAUGCCUUCUCCUCGUACCAUAUUAGCUUCAAAGAGUGCCAUGACUUGGUGAAGGAGCUCUAGCUAGAUGUGGAUAUUAGCCGCAUUGUCCCCAAGGUGGGUGAGCCAGAGGACAACAAAAGCGAAGAGGAUGAGGCUCCUACCCAUGAAGUGGCGACUUUUCCAGAGAUGGUCGUUCCUUUCGAUGCCAUGGCCACUGUCAAACUGACAGUGGCCAGCAUCAUCACAGAUCUUGCUUCCGACCAGGCAUAAGAAGAGGUUCGCUCCAUCGCUGCCACUAAAGUCGCUACCAAAGCCUCUCUUGCAUCAGUCGAAGUUCACCCUGCUCCAAUUGGAGACCUCAGGAUAGACUCUUUCAAAGAUCAACCAAGUCAAAAGGUCACUACCGAAGUGUUGUCUGUUCAAUAAUACUUUAUAUCUUAUUUUUUAUUUUUGUAUUCUCUUUUUGUGAGAAACUUAUAACAAAAGACAUUGUAAUGAAAUGAAGUAUUUUUCUUCCGAUGUUCUUUUCUUUCUUUUGUCAUCUUUUUGAUUUUUUUCGUACUUGCAGCCUGCUUGGAAGGCUUAUACAUUUUGUGAAAAAAUAAUAUAUCUCGAUGAUGAGAAAAAGAUCCCAAAGCCAACCAUUAGAGUGACCAAGAUAUGAGCAAUCGUCAAGAACACAUGCAUAUUUUUCUUGAUAUAUGAAAUGGACUUCAAUCGAUGCAUCGCCUUCUUUCUGAAUAGCGAUACGAUAUUCCUGACCUUGACAGACAUCGAUGCCGAGUAGUUGUGCUAUAAAAUCUAGAGUGCUCCUACUGACAUAUUCAUCCAAUUCAUCAAGAUUUCUCUAGAUAUGGCCAUCGCAACCAGCGGAUCUUCGAAGAGUCAAAGCUACAUCAAGGGAUUGAGGACUGAAGCUCCUGAGGAUCCGGGGUUACUGCCUAAACAUCCCAAAGCCCCCAGGAGUAGAGGAAGAUCAUCGGGGAGAUCCAAAGAACGUGGGAGAUGAUGGGAUAUUUUGUAUUCAUUUCUUUUUUUCUUCAUUUUAAGGAAUGUAUGAAAUGAAACUUGUAAUGAAGCUUCAAUCAAUGAAAUAAAUACUUUUAUGAAUAAUUUUGUCGCUCGCUUUAUGAUUGAUCUUGAAUCUUUUUUAUGCUAAACAAGAUUGUCAUACAUGAUGUAAAUCAUAAGCCAAAGUAACAUCGAUGAGAGCCGAAGAUAUUUAUAAACUUUAAUGAGACAUAAGUAGCUUGAAAUAAGGACUGCAUUGAGUGUUUCUUUAGUAACAUGACUUACGAUAGUACAUCCUUAACUUUUUAGAAUUUCAAAUCUGAGGUAUAGGAGUACUAUCCAGUUCUUCAAUUUGAUAGGAUCUCAAUCAAAUCACUUCAGUAAUUCGAUAGGAUCCUUCCCAGUUCGGGACUAACUUAUCUUGCUCGAUAGAUUUGGCAACCUUAGAUGAGCAAAUGAUAAGGUCGCCGCAUCUAAAGGACUUUGGCUUCAUCCUAGAGUUGUAAUAGCGAACCACUCUUUAUUGAUAAGAAGCCAUUCUAACUCAAGCUUGAUCUCGAACUUCUUUGAGAAAGUCGAGUUCGACGUGGAGAUGAUCAUAAUUUCUUGCUCGCCGUAGUUCUCCAUCCUAUGUGAUGGUAAACAAAUCUCCAAUAGGAUGAUAGCUUCUACGUCAAAGGCUAGCUUGAAGGGUAUUUCAUCAAUUGAUGUUUGGAGUAUCAUUCAGUAUGUCCAUAGCAUGCUAUAGAGUUCAUCAACCCAGAAUCUUUUAACUUGAUCUAGUCUCUUUUUUAAUCCUUAUAGAAUAGUCCGAUUCAUGAUGUUGGCUUCUCCAUUUAAUUGAAAAUGUUUGAUAGAAGUGAACUGAUAUUCGAUGUGAAAUUUAGAGUAGAAUUUUUUGAACUUUAUGUUAUCAAAUUAACGGCUGUUAUUGGUUAUGAUCACUCUUGAAAGAUUAAAUUGGCGUAUUAUUGACUUUCAGAUGAAAUUUCUGAUCUUCUAUUCGAUGAUUUGUACCAAAAGUUCAGUCUCCAUCUACUUUGUGAAGUAAUCAAUGGUCACAAUAAGAAAUCUCUUUUAAUAUAAUACCAUCAAAAAAAGAUCGAGGAUGUCCAUGCCCCACAUCGCAAAAGUUCAAGAAAAUGAGAUAGGAAUGAGUUGGUAUGCCAACUUUCGCUAGAUGUUUGCAAAUUUUUGACCUCGAUCAUAUUUUUUGAUGAAAUCCUCUGCAUCUUUCUGCAUUAAAGGCCAGUAGUAUCCUUGAUAGAGAACUUUGUGUGCUAGUGAUCUACUCUCGAUGUGGUAGCCACAGAUGUCUUUAUGGACUUUUUGAAGUGCAUAAUCAGCCUCGGAUGGUCUUAGACAUUCAAGCAAUAGUAUUGAAAAUAACUUCUUAUAUAGUUGGCCAUUGAGAAGGAUAUACCACAGCUCUUGCUGUUUAAUUCCUCUAGCCUCCUUUCGAUCAUCUGGAAUGGUGCCAUUGCUUAAGUACCCAAUCAAUGAGUCCAUCCAGCUUGGCUCAUUAUUGAUUUAGUUAAUGUUUGUGGCUUCUUCAAUGCUUAGGAUGUCUAGAUACUCAAUGUAGAUCUUCCGUCUUAGAUCGGUAGAAUUAGAAGUGGCUAGAUAGGAAAGUAUAUCAGCUCAGACAUUCUUCGAUCUUGAUAUUCUUUGAAUAUCUAACUCUUUGAAGCUUGUGGUGAGAUCCUUUAUCAUUUAAAGAUAUUUGGAUAUUGUGGGAUCUUUGGCUUCAUAUUCAUCUCACACUUGACUCACGAUAAGCUGAGAAUCAAAGAAUAUCUUGACUUUCUCUACACCAAGCUCUUUGAUGAAUUUCAAUAUGAUGAUGAGGGCUUCAUACUCAGCUAUAUUAUUUAUUGUACUGAAAUUGAACCUCAAUACAUACUCGAUAAUGACUCCAUCUAAGUUGGCGAUAAUUAGACCUGCACCACUUUCUUAGAAAUUUGAAGCUCCACCCACAUGCAGAAUCUACCAGUUGUCCCUCGUGCCGAUCUCUGAUUCAGAAGUAUUUAAACUUGGUUUUUCUUUAGGGAUUAUGAACCCGACGAUGAAGUCCGUCGGUACUUGUAUCUUUAUUGCUGUACGAGAUCAAUAAUCGAUGUCGAACUCUCCAAACUCGAUUGUCUACCUCGUCAGACGACCAGAUAUAUCCAAUCUCUAGAGUAGUACUUUUGAUUGAUUAGCACAACAACUGUAUGAGCCUAGAAGUACGACCGAUGAUGUUUGCUUGUGAUGACAAGUGAGUAAAUUAUUUUCUUGAUUCUAAUAUACCUGAUUUCUGCAUCUCUCAAGACUUUAUUAGUGUAAUAGAUCAACUUUUAUACAUCGACUUUUUUUUAGAUGAGAAUCGAACUUAUUGCCUAUGAGAUGAAAAUACAUAUACAACUUCUCACCUUCAAUAGGCUUUGACAGAAGGGGUGCCGGUCUGAGAUACUUUUUGAGGCUUUCAAAGGCAGAUAGAUACUCUUCCUACCAUUCAAAGUUCUUUGCUUACUUUAUUACUUUGAAAAAUGGAAGAUACUUUUCAACCGAUCUAGAUAUAAAUCGGCUUAGUGCUUCCAUCCUUCCAAUCAAGCAUUGGACUUCUCUUUUAUUAGUCGGAUGCUUCAUCUCUGUAAGUGUUUGGAUCUUCUUCAGAUUUGCUUCAAUUUUCCUUUGGGUCACCAUGAAGUCCAGAAAUUUCUCAAAAUUUACUUCGAAUGUGCACUCGUUUGGAUUCAACUUCAUUUGGUAGCGCUUGAGUUCAUUAAAUGCUUCAUUGAGAUUGACAAUAUGCUAAUUAGUUUCCACACUCUUGACGUGCAUAUCAUCCACAUACACCUCUAUAUUGUGACCGAUCUAUUUCUUAAAGACUUUGUUGACAAGGCACUGAUAGGUUGCAUCUAUAUUUUUCAAUUCGAAUAGCAUCAUUUUAUAAUAGUACAGCCCUCUUUCAGUUACAAAGGUUGUCUUCUCUUUAUCUUUUGGUACUGUCCAAAUUUGGUUAUAAUUAGAGAAUACAUCUAUAAAGCUUAGAAGCUUAUGAUUCAAAGUAGCAUCAACCAACUGAUUGAUUCUUGACAAGAAGAAGCUAUCCUUACGACAAGCCUUAUUUGGAUCGGUGUAGUUAAUACAGAUCCUUCACUUACCAUUAGCCUUCUUUACUAUAAUCACAUUGGUGAUCUACUUCGGAUAAUGUGCUUCUUGAAUGAAUCCUAUCUUAAGAAGUUUGUCGACUUCUUCCUCAAUCAUCUUUUAUCGCUCUGAUGCAAAACUUUUUUCUUUUGCCAAACAAGAUGAUGAUGAGACUCAAUAUUCAGCUUAUGUGUAAUGACUUUGGAAAAAAUAUCUGGCAUGUCGGAUGCCAACCAAGCAAACACAAUGACAUUUACAAGAAGAAAGUCAAUUAACCAUUCCUUGAGAUGCAUUGGUGGAAGACUUCUGAUCUUGACGGCUCAUUCAGAAUCAUCUCCUAGUUGAACUUCAAUGAGCUCUUCUUUUAGUUCACCUUAGCUUUCAUCUUCAUCCUUUCUCAAAUCUAACUCUUCAAUUAGCAGAGUUUUCUUAGUCUUGUUUCCUUGGAUAAUUGCCAUGAAGCAUUAUCUUGCAAGUACUUGAUCACCCCUCAUUUGUCCGACUCUGUUCUUGGUUGGAAAAUGGAUGAGCAGGUGAUAUAUUAAGAUAAUGACUCUCAAAGCAUUUAAUCCAGAUCAUCUUAGGAUCACAUUAUAUGCCGAGGGUAUUCGGACGAUAAAAAAAUUGAGCAGCAUAGUUGCUUACUGAGGUGAUUUUCUCACGAUCACUGGCAAUUCUAUUUCACCUUCAAAGGCUAGUGAAUUACCAGUGAAUCCGACCAACAGUGCAUGAUUUCGCUUGAGUCAUUCUUUGGACAACUUCAUUCUUUAGAAAGUAUCAUAAAACAAGACAUCAGUAGAGCUUUCAUUAUCUAUGUAAAUUUUUUUUACAUCAUAAUUUGCUAUUGUCAUUGAAAUGACAAUAGCAUCAUUGUGAGAAGUUUGGACUCUGCCUACAUUUUCAUCAGAAAAAGAAAUAAUAUCAUUGAAAGAAGAGAAGUUUGCUUCUCUGAUUCAUCCCUUUUUCUAGGCGGACCCUUCAACUUUUUCCUCUCAUGCCCCUCUGCAGCUAGCAUGUCCCGAGAUAAUGUUGAUUAUGCCAGCCAUCGAGAGAUUGCCGCGGUUGUUGUCCAUAUCAGUAUUCGCCUGACAUGGUUCUUCUACUGGGCCUUUUCCCUUGUUCUGGACAUACUUCCUAAGGUAUCCCUGGUAAAUUAGAUCUUUAAUCUCAUCCUUCAGCUGACAAUAUUCUUCAGUGUCGUGACCAUGAUCUCGAUGAAAGCAGUAAUACUUCAUCUUGUCCCUUUGGCUCGAUGCCGCUCUCAUCUUCCCAGCUUGACGUAUGUAUUCUUGGCCUUCGAUCUCCAUCAAGAUCUCAGCAUGUGAGAUGGAGAGCGGAGUGUAGUUGUAGAAGCACCUUAGGGGACUCUUCGUCCUCUGAUGCUUCUGGGGGUGGUUGUUCCCACCUUCUUUUCGAGCAUCGCUAUCUUCUUCGUAGGCUCUCUUUUUGCUACCAUUCUUCUUCCUUUCUUCCUACCGAUGAAGGGCCUCACUCUCUUUAGCUUGUGCAUAUUUUCGAGCUCGAGUGAGGAGAUCGACGUAGUCUUUUGAAAAAUUCUUAUUGAGAAAGAAGAUGAGGUGUUCAUCUUUGAGUCCUCAUUUCAUCGCCAACAUGGUGACGGACUUGUGGAAGUCAUGGAUUUCAAGCGUGACGGCAUUGAAACAUGCAACAUAAUCUCUCAGUGACUUUCCUUCUCUUUGUUUAAUGGAGAAGAGGCUGUCAUUGUUAUUCGGCUAUGGUCUUUGGCUGUCGAAGUGCAUGACGAAUUGCAUUUCCAGCUGCUUGGAGGAAUGGAUUGAUUCUUGUGCGAGGCUGGAGAACCAAACUCUCAUAUUUUUCUUAAGAGUCAUUAGGAAGGUAAGGCAGAGGAGGGUGUCGGAUGCAUUCUGUAGCAUCAUAAGAACUUUAUAUCCCUCCUGAUGGUCGAAUGGAUCGGUUGAGUUAUCAUAGGGUUCAACCUGCGGGAUCUUGAACCAAUGUAAGAUCAGUUCACUCAGAAUCUCCCGAAAGAAUGGUGGUUGGGUGUUGAAGUUAAGACCAUCAUUCUAUUGAUGACCUCUCUAUUAGAACUCAACAAUCCUACAUUCCAGCUCCUGAACCUUCCUCUCGAUGUUGUCUCCCCACCGAAAAUAAUGUCAACACAGAGGGGCUUGAGGUGGAGUCCUCUUUGGAGGGCUUCGACGAUUGAUUUUUUUUAUCAUCUCUUCUUGGGCUCCAAGGGUGUUGUGGCAAGCAGCGAGAAGCUAGUUCGGCCGAUCAUGAUCAUCGAUAUGAGACUUGAGCUAUAUUUGAGUACCGGUGCUCUCGUUCGGAUCCUUCUACAUGGAUCCAGCAGCUGCAUUGAGAUGGAGUUGCCGGAGGAGCUUGUGUCCUCACUGCACUGUCCUGCUGUAAUUGCUGUACAGUAGUUGCAAGCGCUUGGACUUGCUCUGCAAGCGUAUUGAUCGGGUCCAAAUGAACGGCAGUGAAUUGUCUAGGAGAUUGUUCCCCGACAGUUUGUACAUUAGAUGUGUUGUGCAGAAAUAACUGCCGGCAUAACAUGGUGAGGUGGUUUUGCAAUCAAGUUCUCACCAUCUUUCUUCAAAAAAUGGGGCAAUAGGACCAUCCUUCUUCUAAUGCCAAUCUAUUACUGCAUCUCUCCGAUGAGGUUCGACAUGUCAAGGCAACUCGGAUUGACUGCCUAGCUGGAGUACGGCAGGCGCCAAUCUAGACUCUGAGUAUCUGUAAAGAAAGUUCACUCAAAUUGGAGAAAGAGAUGAUAGGUUUUUUGAUGGAAGAUCUUUCGAUGCUUAAGUCUGAGAGUGACGAAGCGGGAGAACAAUAAAAAAAAAUAGUGAGAGUGCUCAAAGAGUGUAAAUAAUCUCCCUUUCUUUUUUUAUUAGAAAAAUUUAUUAGGUGGUUAGUAGCCUUUCAGAUCAGAGUAGUGGGUCAUUGGCAAGUGUCAGCAGUCGGUUACGAUUAUCAGUAAUUGAUUAUAGAACCAGCUGUCCACGUUUGGGUGACAAGCGUUACUAUUAUAACUGAAUGCCAACUCUAUUAUCGUCCGCGCGCCAGUAGCUUUCCGUAGAACCGUAGCAUAGCUAGUAGAGAAUUAGGGCGUCAAUGAAGUGAGAUUGGCCGAAAGCCGAUGGUGCAGAUUUCAUCCAAAGUCGGAUCUUAUGUGGUCGGUCAUCCACCGAUAACAUCAUUGUUGUGUAGAGCACAAGUCCUAGAUUGUCCAUAUUAUAAUGCCAGAUGUCUGCCACGUCUUUAAAGAUCGAAUAUGUCAUCAGAUGGAUCAAAUUUGGCCCAAUAAUAUCAUAUCGAUUUUCUUGAUGCAAUCUAAUCCAAUACAACCGCCAUAUUUUGAUCUUCCUUCGAGACCAUAGCAGAAACACGAAAAGUAUCUCGCGGGGCAGCUUCUCAUAUCCAUCUACUCCUCAUCAGAUGAGUUAUUUAGCGUUCAAAACCGAAAGCUUGCUCCAUACAAGAUGAGUCCUUGCGUGUUCAGAAUUGAAGACUCUGCAGGUGCACCAUGUGGAAACCAAUGUGGCUAAAAGCAAAUAUGUGGAUGCUAAUGUCCCACGACAAGUAGAUGCAAAACGGCAGCAAAGUACAAAUCUUAGAGCGACAUAACAAUAUACACGAGUCAUCAUCAACAAGAUUGAUGUUAAUGCACCAGGCUCAUCUGGCCACGUUUGAUCGUUGACAACGACAUCGUCUAGAACCUAUCCAUCUCCAGAUCUCCACCAUCCGAUCUAAAUCACGCGGUCCAUUUAAAAAGUAAACGUGGCAGCGCACAAAGGGAAAAGAAAUAUAGUACUCUCUCUUCCCCGUAUAGCCGUCACUACCCAAAUCCAUUGGUCAGAACUCACAAGAUCCCAAAACUAACUCCUGAUAUAAAUUCCGGAUGGACCGGAUAUCAUAAUGAGAUUUCUUUUCCACUCUAGCUACCACCUCCUUUCUUGACUUCUUCUAUGUGUCCUUUAUCUAAUAUCUUAAGGGAUCUGCCCAUAGAAGAAAGAGACUUCCAGAUAAAGUAAUUUUUUAUUCUUGCUUAUACCAAUCAUUCCAAUCCAGCUCUUCAUACCAAUAAUAGUUUCAUUUCAAUUGAGAUUUUGGAGUUGGGCCCUGACAGGUUGGUUUCUGCCGGGAACUGGAUUGGAGGAAGAGAGUGAUCAGAAGAUAAGAAGGGAUUGUGGGGGUAUGGCAAUGCCAUGGGGCUUGGCUGUGUACAUAAUGAACAUGGUGUGGAUGAUUCUCGAUGGCUGGAUCGCAUCGUGUGUGACGGUCGCCGAUGAGAUUGCCCGGGCACUCAGGACCGGCGAAAUCGGUCCCUUCCCCGUCGCAUGAAUACCUGAUCAUUACCAAGCUCUGUUCAGGUCUGGUUCAAAUCCUUUAUUUGUUCUUUAUAUAUUUUUGAGUUCUUUCAUUCUUCUAUGCGUUUGGUUGGUGAACUAGACUUUCCUAUGAUUGUUUUUGCAUUCCUUGUUGAUUAUGGCAAAAGAUAUGCUCCGGUUUCGGUGCAAUUGAAUUGUGGUUGUUGAUUAGUUUGAUCUGAUAGGAAGGAGAUGAUCGACCACUGAGAGAUUUGAUAUAAAACAGCAGGCUAUACAUGUGUUUGUUGAGAGUAUUAAUUUCUCCAAUAAGCAGCUGAUAAUUUGAUGGUGUGAAGGAAGUGCCUCACCAUUAGUGCCUCUAUAAUUUGGCAGUAGUUCCAGGCGUUUGGUUAAACCAACAAUGGAGAAACAAUGUAACAGAGAGGUUAUGUAUGAUAUGAUGGAGAUGUUUUAUAAUAAGUUUUUCAAUCCAUCAUUCUUGCUUUUGGGUAAUGAUGCUUUCUGUAGACUGCACCAGAUUUAUAAUAAGUUUUUCGAUCCAUCAUUCCUGCUUUCUUGAAGGUUAUGAGAGACAGAGAGAGAGCUCUUAGGACAUUGAUGUGGAUGGUAAGCUGCAGAUUUGGACAGAUGUUUCAGUUGGAGCAUGAAUAAAUGAAAAAUUUGCAGUAGAUUGGUUUUGAAGACCGGUUUAUUUCAGAACUUUUACUGCCGAAUGAUCAUUUACAGGUUGUAGAUGUGACUGGUUAUCAAAUUAUCAGAUCAAGAGGUAGUGUUGAGUUCUCUAAUUAUUGGCAUUUCUUUAAUUAAUGGGGCCUGCUAUAGGUAAAUUGGAUGUAUGGAACUAAAAUUUUAUUUAGAGAUUGAAACUGUCCAUGUUGGCCUAGGAACAGGGGAUGCGUUUGCAAAGUGGAUCUAGCUGAUCUUAAACAGGACACUUAAGAAUAGAACUCAGCAUAUGAUGUAAAUGAAUAAUUUUAAAGGAAGAGGAAAAGGGGAAGAAGAACUUUUUAAUAUAUAAAUGUUAUCUUGUUUGCAGAUGAAAUGUUUAUGACAAGAAAUUUUCUUUUCUUCACUGUGAGUUUUAUCAUUUAAUAUUCUGUGAUUUAAUAGGUAUACUCCCAUUUUUCCUGUUGGACUUAUCUAGUUUUUCAUUAUAAAACGUUAAAUGGAGACAAUCAUGAUGCAUAUGUAUAAAAGAGUUGUUGUUAGAGGUAGGCUUUAUCAUCUCACACAAAUUCUAGUCAGGGAGGUACACUGGCAUUUUACAUGUGGUUGAUUGUUGAUUAGAAAACAAUUUUAUAUAGUAAUUGAGCUAUCUAAUGGAUGGGUAAAUCACAUGUCAAAGAAUGAUUUUAAUAGGGGGAAAUUAGGAUGUUAAUUUUGUUUAAUUCAGAAAAAAGAAAAGAAAAGAAAAGAAAAAGAAACUAAAGAGAGAACCCACCAAAGCUUACAGGAUGAAAUGUAGUAAUCGUCUAAUGUGUCAGUUUAUAUCUAUCAGAUUAUAUAAUACAUCCCAUAUGUUCGACUUCACUAGACUGUUAGAGUCUAGGGCAUUUUAGAACAUCAUGUUUCAAUAUGUAUUAAUUGCAACCUUCUUGAGUGAAAUGUGUAUUGCUAAUGAUCAUUUGCCAUCUCUUCAUGCCCCGGAGUAUUUAAUAAUACAGAUAUACACAAUAUUUCAUGGUGAAAAAUGUUGAUUCUAUUGAUCUUCUUUUUACCUAAGUUUUUUCCCUAAAUAUAUAGUUUUGUAAGAUAUGGUUUUAUAAUAUCAUUUGUGAUUCAUUAGUUUCAAAAUCCAUAGAAGGAUAAAAAUUGCAUCACUUCAUGGGGCAUUUUGCUCAACUUCUUUAUAUUUUUUCUUGCAAAAAAAUGUUGCUUUAAUACAGUUUUACCAUGCUUAUUUUUGUUGGUACAGAUAGAUUGGUUGCAUUACAACAAUACCUCAAAAUGAAGAACAGACAUUGCUUGUGAGAUUUUUUUAUCAGAAAUAAAUAAUAAAGUCAACCAUGCUGCUCAUUGAUGGGAGCCCACGAACUGAUUCAGCACAGAUGGUGAUGACAUCUUCGAAGAAGGCUUUCAAAAAGAUCAUGAAGUCGGUGUUAACCUGUUCUUUUUAUUUAUUUUUUUAUUUUCUUUUUAUGUAAAGAUGGGCGUGUAAGAUGGUGCUUAUUCCCUUUAUUUUUUCAAUUAUUCAAAAUACCAUCCAAUAAGCAAAAAAUAAUAUAAGCUUAUUGGCUGGCUCUAUGUGGUCUUUUUUUUUUUUUUUUUUGGGAUAAGAAAAAAUUGUGCUUAAUAAAUAUGUGGAAUUUAUAUGGUCCAGGUUAUAACGUAAAUGUCCCCAUAUAAAUGAAUCAUACAAAAGAUCAUUAGGAGUGGCUGAAAAAAUCCAAUGAUUAAAUGAUUACAGAGAAUGGAUUUUAUUUUUUUUCAUCUAUUAUCUUUUGAAAAGCAUCCUCUCUUUUUUCAGUAAAAAAUUCUCCUGACAAAGCAUGGUGUGGCAACAUUAUUUCUAGUUGUGAAUGUCUUUGAGAGUAUAAUGAGAUCAACUUUGUCUUAUUUAUUAUUGUUUAAGAUUUAUGAUCGGCUUAUAUCUUUCGGUUGCUUCCUUACUUGAAUGUAGCGGCUAGUGUAGAUAGAGCUGUGAAUGGCAUCUCUUUGUUUAAAAUAAUUGGAUUGAGGUCCAAAAGUUGGAGUUUUUUUUUUUUGGAUGGAGGAGUGGGUAGGGGCAGGUCAGUAAUUGAAUCAACUUGACAAUAUGAUUAAAAAUAUUAUAGCCAUCGAUAAUAUAUAUCUAAUAUAAUAAUAUAUAUAUUGCAUUUGUACUUCCUAUAUGAAAGGAAUGGUCCAUUUUUAUAUAAAUUAGAAUCUCCCUUGACUCACAACACUCUUUAUUUUUAUCAUAUCUGGUGCAUUACUGUUACGGUCAAGAGCUCGUGGCUUAGUACAUGAGGUAUUGUUCACUCUAGCUCAUGGGUCUUACGAUUUUACCCUUCAAAAGAUAUCUGGCAUGAAAAUGAUAGUUCUUUCUUAUAUGAAUUUUCAUUGACUCAACCAAUGUAAGACUAAUGAUGCCUCUCUUCUGCACCACAACAUUAUCAAUAGUUAGUUUUAUCAGUACAAAUCAUUUAUUGAAUCACUAGUCAACAACAAAUAUUCAAUAAAUCAUGUGAUUCAAAGAAUUAAAAUCUAAUUUUAUCAAAAAAUGAUCUUCAGUUUCCUAGAAUUAACAUCUAGUAAGAUUUAUAGGGAUGAGUAGAUAGUUAUGAAUAUUAGCUUUUUUUCUUUCAUCCACAAAAGCUCUUUGGCAUCUCACAAGAGCUAGUUAUUAACUUAAUUUAGUAGUUUUAACAUAUUUUAAGGGGUUUGGAUUGUAUCUUUCACGUGAAAGAAUGAUUCACUUUUUUUUUGUGAUAUACAUCAGUGGAUCGUGCAAUAGCCACUACGAGAUCUAUGCAAACAGAUGAAAGUGAGGGUUCAUAGUGGUUUGAGAUCUGUACAAAGCAUGAUCUAAUAGUUGAUAUUGUGAUAGAAGAUCAAUCAUUCUUUCCUAUGAAAGAUACGACCCGAACCCUAUUUUAAGUAUAUAUAUAUAUUUUUUGGUGGAAUACAGGAUUCAUAGGAACAGAACAAAGAAAGAAGAAAACUGAGCUUUAAACAUGCACCCCAAAGUAUCAGGACCUUUGACAAGCAACACCAUAAUCAUCGGCAUGUAACAAAUUCAAAAGCUCCCAGUGAAUUGUCUGCCCACAGAAAUUUUUUUUAAAAAGAAAAUUCUUCUAAGGCUCUCCCUGUCAGCCAGCCAGCCACUUGGUUCCCCUCCCUUCUAAUAUGAGAAGUUUUAAUUGUUUGCAAGCUUGAUAUCCAGGCCUUCAAAUCUUUCAAAAUAGGAUCAGCAUCAUACCUGCAGGGAGUUUCACAUUGAAGCCACUUUAUUAGAGUACUUGAGUCUCCCUCCAGCCAUAUUUGGGUAGCAUUGCAAGAGAAGAGAGCAUGAUACAUCCCAACCAAGCACCUUAUAAUUUUGCCGCAAUAACAGAAUAAGAAGAAGGUAAUUGUUUACCAGCAGCAAAUAAAAGAGUCCCAAACUGAUCUCUGAUUACACUGGCAGCAGAUGUUUUAUUUCCUGUCCUGGCUCCGUCAGAAUUAACCUAUGGGACUCCAAGGGGAGGGGCUAUCCAAGUAAUGAUAUUUGAACCCAGUGUCUGCUGGCGGAAAAAAGGAUUAGCCCAGUUCCUUGACUGAGUUCCAAAGGUACCAGUUUUAAUAAUAAUAAUCUGAUCAUCGUGAUGCGUAUAUACCAUUUUGAUUAUGCGCUUGGGGGGGAGGUUUGCUGUUGGAAGAGUCUUUGAUUUCAUACAAACCAAAUCAUGGAGGCCAUAUAAGCAUAAUCAGAUGUUACCCCCUCCUCUACCUCGGCUUUGAUAAAAAAUGCAACCAAACCUAGCAAAGAAUCAAGUAUAGAACCUGUUUUUAGACAGUUAUUCAAGGCUCGCCAACAAUACUGUGCCUAGUGACAAUUAAUUAUAACAUAUUGAACAUUUUCCUCCAUAUGUAUACAUAAAUCACAAUUUACCUUUUGGGCUGAAAUAAUACCCCUAUCAUUCAACAAGGAUUCGUAAGGAAGCCUUCUCCAAGCUACUUUCCACCAGAAGAAUUGCACCCCCAUUGGUCCCUCCGAGAAAAUUUUCAUUGCAAUGGUGAUACCAUGUCAAACUUGCAAUAACCCAAUCAAAAUUUUGGAAUUGGUGGGGCAGUGUAGAUAUCAUCAUGUGAAUCGGUGAAAUACACAGCAAUCGAUGAAAUACAAGAGUUCUCAUUGGGUUGUGAUAAAUUCGACGUGGUAUCACCAUUGCAACGAAGUUUUUCCCAUUCCCUUCAGCUUCCAGACCCACUUGAAAUGAGCACAUACCUUCAUUUUCUACCAACUUACACAUUUCCUUUGGAGGCACAUGGAAAGCCCUGGUGGCAUCCCAGCACAACUGAUCAGACCAAACCCCUCUAGGUAAAGGAAUACAAGAAAUCUCGUUCAUCAUCUCAGUGCUAAAAGAAGCAGCCAGCCGAUCCAAAUCCCAGCACCUGUCAUGGGUGAUAGAAUCAACCACUUUCAUGGUGUCCCAGUUUGCAUCCACAUUAAUAUAUGUUGGGCACAAACACAAAGAGGUGGAGUUUAUCCAAAGCUCCGAGUAAGCAUUCAAAUUACUCUCAUCAGCUAGAACCCAUUGAAUAUGACACCGAACCAUGGCACCAUAGUAACGGAUUUUCCUCCAUAUUAUAGAGGCCCUCCUUGGUUUCAUCAUACCUGACCCAUUGUCCCUGAAAAUUGUACUUAGUACUUACCAUCUGGGACCAUAACAAAUGAGGGUUUAAAGCUACUUGGGCUGCUAAUUUGCAUAACAUAGCCUGCUGCUUGGUUCUCAGCGAGUGUAAGCCUAACCCACCAUUUUCUUUUGAUUGGCAAAUAACCUCCUAGGAGAGCAAAUGGAGCCCAUGGUGACCUGAUUAAUGCCCCCAUAAAAAUGCUCGAAGCUCCUUUUCCAUGUUUUUGAUCACCGACAUGGGAACAACAACUAAAGACAUGGCAUAGAUAGGAAUGGAGGAUAGAACCAAAGCUACAAGGGUUGCUCUGCUAGAUUGUGACAAAGCCUUCCACUUCCAACUAGCCAGUUUACCUCCCAUCCUAUCCAUAAGAAAGUUAAAAUUAUUCUUCUUUAGAGGCUACCUGAUAUAGGCACCCCAAGAUAAUUCCAAGUCCCAUGCUUAAUGGCCAUCUGAAAUACAUAUCAAAUUUGAGCCUUGAUGGUUGACCUUGUAGCUAGACUGAAAAUGAUAUGGGAUUUUGUUGUGUUGAUCGCUUGUCCAGAUAUAGCACAAUAGGAUUCAAUUAGAGCUUUCAAGAAGACUGCAUUUCUGAUUAUAGCUUUAGCAACAAGCAAACAGUCAUCAGCAAAUAAUAGAUGAGAGAUGGAUGGGCCAUUUGGAGAAGGUUAAUAAAUUUUUAACAUUUGACUUGGAACAAAGGUACUUUUUUGCACUAUAAUUCUUGUCAUAAAGCAUGGUCUUCAAAUUUCUAGAGUUAAAAAUUGAUAAUGUCUAUGGAAAUAGUUUAAAAUAUUAUAAAUGCCUUAGUAUGACAAAUCAAGAAGGGUCUCAUUGGGGUAGAUUAGAAUAUAGGAUCUAAAUGGAUGUCAAUUGGUCUGGUUGAUAAAGCUACUAAGGAUUGAGCAUCAACAAUUUAAAUUUUACUCUAGUUUGCAAUACUUCAAAUUUAUCAUCUCAAGAAAUUGACUUGGGGUUCGUGUACCCCUUGCCUAUUUUCAGAGAGAGAGAGAGAGAGAAAGCGAGAGUAUUCUAAGAGGCAUCACAAAACCAACCAAUAAGUCUAGAUUUUAUUCAAUUUCUAAAUCUCAAUGGGUCAAAUUAAAUUAACUAUUUGCAUGCUGAUGAUCUGGAUGGUUUGGGCGGAAGAUAGAUUGUCUGAAUUAAAUAUAGAUUUCCCUCUUAGUGAUGUGAUGGAGCUCAAAACAUGUUGGUAUGGCCAGUUAUUUUUGCUUUAUUGAUAUUACAUGUUCAUUCAUUUAAUUAAGAUAUGAAGUAUAUGCUUUGAAAUCAAAAUUUGCUGCCCUUAUAGAUGAUUAUACCGUAAAUUUUUUUUUGGUAGAACGACUGUACCAUAAAUUGAAGUACAAUGUUCAUUGGUAAUACUAAUUAUGCUAUAAAUUGAAAGAUGAUAAUAAUAAUUUGCCCUCAUUACAUAAUAACAAGAUUUUAGAAGUACAAAAAUGGAGGGUUAACUAUAAAUUGAAUUUAGUAAUAAUGUGAUUAAAAAUAUGAUAUAAAAUAAUCUUUUAUUAGACAUAUUAUUUAGAUGAUGGAUUAAAGGUUUACUCUUUAUUCCAAUACUUGGUUCUGCAAAAUUUUUUCAGAGCCUAUCCUUUGUUUUUUAGGAAGGCAAGAUUUUGAUCCAUUCUCUUCUUCUUUGAUCCAAAUACAACACCACUCUAAUCCCUCUUUUUAAGAAUGACAACAUUAGGGAAAAAAGAUACGAGAGAGAUCCCCCUAUUCCAUUUGUAAUAUAUGAUAUAAAAUUAUAUUUUUAUUUAUUUCUGAAUAUGCAAUGUUAAAAGUAAUUGUCUGCACCAAUAUUAUUGACCAAAUACUAUUAGAUUAAAAUACUUGAAGAUAAUAUCUUCAAGAGGUAUAAAAAAAUAAUAGAAUAUAAUGGGUACAUUUAUUGUUAGGAUGCAUUAAAUGUUAAAGAGAUUUGCAUGGGGCAUGAGAAACCAAAAGCGGUAAUGGCUUGCUUCCUUUCCUUUCACUCCCAACAAGGAAAACCAUGCAGUCUCUCCCUAACUCAUUGGUUAAUUCGUAAUUUCAUAACCUAAUAAACCACUCUCUUUUUC